rnacentral:lncRNA from 1 species
GACGAUUCAUGCGAUUAGGAUGGUGCUUCUGUUUUCUUGUUUUGCUGCCAUAUGUUUAGACCCUGAACUGCUGGUAGGAAAAUUAAUGGCAUUAUGAUGCGAGUCAUCUCCGCAUUGAAAUUCGGUUGCACAUUAUCUUUCUGUUGCACAAUGACCCUUUGCCCAUGUGAAGUCAGAUUGAUCUUUUCUCUCAAUGUAGGAACUGCAUCCAUGCCUCCAGAAUGGCCGCAGGGCUAUCAUCAGCAUCGUCGAUCUAACAACCGAUUCUUCUGAGAAAGGACUUAAGGUAUUUCUUCUCCGAGUGGAUCUAUAUUUUAUGAAGUAGAAUCAGUGGCCCAAUUCCUAAUAUUUCGUCAUGAUGAAUACGUAUAUAGUUACUUAGUUUGACAUGUUUAAGUAAUUAGAAGGGUGCGAGGUGGCAUGGUAACCAUAGUGCAGCUAAAGUAAUUGUUAAGAAUGAUCUUUUUUCGUAAAAAAAAUACCCAUAGUUUAUGUUGGAAUUUUGGCAAAAGACUAAGUAGAUCAUUUAGGGUUCCUCGAAAAAUCCUAAUACCUGGGUCAGAGUGUAUAUGAUAUCACUUUUAAGAUUGUUUAAUAUAAAGUGACAAAACUUCUGCUAUAACAAGUGGGUAACUUUUAUCGAAACUAUAUUGUUAACUAUGAUAUCAUGAUAAUCUUUUGAUCGAAUAUUUUUAAUACGCAUAUGAGAUUUUCACAACUUGAUUUGGUUCCACUUUCUUGACAAAUUUGUGCAAAAUGUUUUCAGGUACUCAACCUAUUGAUGCACAUGGACAUGAUGACUCUCUAGCGUUUAUGGACCAACCAACCUGUAAUCAUGGACCUUAUUGUCUUGUAGACCAUUUGGUGUUUCGAGUGUUUUGGAGCUUGCACUUUGUGCAUGUAGAUACAAACUUAUGUGUUCUGGACCAUCUGAAGUCUCUCAUAGUAACCAAUAGUCCUUAUCUUUUUGUGACUUGUGUUAGAUGAUUGUUAAGAUGGUCAAAACUAUCCUUCCUCUAGGUUAAUUUAUUUGUCAACUUGCGUUCAAUGUAUGUGCAUGUUUAUAAACAUAUUUUCAUUGUGGUGUAAUAUGUGUUUAUCUUGAACCUUCUUGUGGGUGUGAGGAUAAUAAUUGAAUAUUUUUAGAGCUGGUAGUAUAACCUGUGGCACACCAUGAGCUAUACUAAUGGGACACCUGGGAAGCAUACUAAUGGCGCACUUGGGAGGCAUACUAAUGGCGCACCUGGGAGGCAUACUAAUGGCGCACCUGGGAGGCAUACUAAUGGCGAACCUGGGAGGCAUACUAAUGGCGCACCUGGGAGGCAUACUAAUGGCGCACUGCUUGGUGCGCCAUUAGUAUAUCAGAUACUAAUGGCGCACCUGUGGUGCGCCAUUAGUAAAAAAUUCUAAUGGCGUGAUGCUAGUGGCGCACCUAUAGUACGCCAAUAGUAGCCAAAACAGGUGCGCCACUAGCAGGACUUUUCCUAGUAGUGUGUGCACGUCAUGCACCUCGGCAACCUUCAAGCGGAAGCCCAGCGAGGGAGUCGGCCACGACCGUUAACCAUGCUAACACCUAGUCCAGGUUUAUCGCCUAUUUGAGAGUAACCCGCACGGAAGUCCGGCCAUGGUUUUCGCCACGGCCCCAAAUGAUAUGCGCAGGGUUCCCAAGCCCACCAUUUGGGUGCCACUAGGUACACCGUGCCACUGCCUACCACAUCAUAGCCCACCACUAAGGUCAGCACUAUGCACGACCUCCAGCAUGACUAUAAACACCAGAAACUACUUGCAACUCCUGGACCGAGUACUAGGUGAUUAAUAAGCCGAGAGGGUCAAUUAAGUAUCCCAACGUGUGUAGUAUCUAGUCUUGGAUUACACACACAGAACUCAGUUCCUAAUGACGGUUCCAAUGAAACAACCCGCCAUGUACUCCUACAUAGCAUUUCAUCGUUACCUUUACCAAAUCAGGUUCGACACUUAUCCUUUGUCACUAGAACACAUUCAUCCAUUCCAGUUCAUCACCCAGAUGAAACAGACCUUACACUACUCUAGGCAUAGCAAGCAUAGCAGGAAAUAACACAACAUGGCUCAAGCAACUACCAGGUAUGCUAUGUUGCAAGGUUUGGCUAUUUACUGUGACAAUGACAGGUCAUGCAAACGAAUAGGUUCAGCUACCGAAGUAAAACAUUUGAAAUAUUUUUUCCUAAUGCAAUAAGUGGGAGCAGGAGCAAGAACAUGGGAUUAUAUCGGGAUGAUCAAAACGGUGCUUGCCUUGUUGCUCAGCGGAGGGAUUAAAUCCGUCAGACGGAUAUUCAGACGUAUCCGGAAGGGCAGAGCCUACCGAAACAAUAACAACCAAUUAAUAACAAUCAUAUGCAACAGCAUGAUGCAUGAUCAUGGCAUGAAAUGAAUUGUAGCAUAAGUUAAUGUGGCUAUCAAACUUUUAAAAUCAUGCUGAUUUGAAUUCAAAUUCAAAUAUUACUUUAAGUAAUAUAUUCAUCAAAUUUAUUUAAUUGAUUUGACCUGAUGAUGUUUCAUAACUUUGUUUUUCAUGCAUGAAAGUGGCACCAUUGUGUUCAUUGAUUUUUCUGAUCAAUUUGCAUAUAUUAUUGUCAAAUUUGGAGAUAUAAUCAAUUUUCUAUGAUUUUCCAAAGUUUUGCACUUAUUCUGGAACUAAUAUAAAUCAGAAAUAUAGUUACUACAUCAGCAUGACAUCAGCAGCUCCAACUGGCCGUUGAAAGUCAAACUCGACCAGUGGUACCCACUAGUCAGUGACUGUGGCCAGAUUUUAAUUGAACUUUAACUUGAUUAGUUCAUUAACAGGGGUUGGCCCAGAUGUCAGUGUUGGUUUAGCAAUUAAAUUAACUAAUUAUUUUUAUUAGCUUAACUUUAAAUAGUCAGGGGCUGGUCCCACUUGCCAAUGACUCUGGGGAGUCAACCCACCGGCACUGGGGUCAAACCCACUGGCGACGAGCCGCCGGUGUCUCCACGGACGGCGGAGGGAUUUGGGAUUGUUCCUCCAGCGACCAAAGGACGGCGGAGGGUACCAGGGGAAUGACACUUCACCCACGGUUCCACUUUUGCAACUUACAGGGGGUGAAAUGGCCGGAGAUGACGCCGGCAAGGAGCUCGGCAGCUGCCGAAGCUCGGGCAUGAUCGGGAUCACUGCUACGGGGCUCAUCAUGCGCGGUACUAGGCUCCUACACCACCUACGCAAUCACUGAAGCUAACGGUGUCGUGGGCUCACGGGGAGUGUAGAGGCGUCGAAAGCGUGCUCGGGGACGACCUGGAGAGGGAGAACGACGGCGGCGAUCAACGCGGCCCGAGGAAGAAGACGACGGUGAUCCGGUGACUCAUGGGCUCUCGGCGUUGUACGACUUGCUGGGAAGCUUCAGGACAUCACUGCGGUUCUUCCACGCGGCUCGGAGGGGAAAGAGGGAGGCUGGAGCGGCUUGUCGACGGCGAGCUCAAGCCUUGGCCAUGGCGGACAAAGAGGGGGAAGCACAUGGGGCGAAUAGGGAGAGGGAGAGAGCUGGGAACGAGUGCGGGGAGGCUUAUCCCUCCAUGCCAGCGUGACGGGGAGCUCCAGGCAGGCACAACGGUGCGUGGCCGCACCAGAGGGAGCGGCGGCAACCUCCUGCUGCCGACUGGCGCGAGGAAGACGACAGGGGAGAGAAGCUGGGCUGGGCCUGAGCGACGGGUAAGGUUUUCCAUCUUUUUUUCAUUUCUAUUUCUGUUUUAAACUUUCUGGCAUUUGUUUCAUUUAAAUUUUGGCUCCAAACUAUUUCUAAGAUAGUGAAAAUAAUGUUGGGUGUUAUUUGGAAUAUUUCCAACCCCAUAUAAAAGAUUAAACAUUUUAUGAAUUUCUGAAAUAUUUGAAAUCAAAUAUAUAGUUGAUUUCAGUGGCUUUUGUGUUUAAAAUAAAAUACCAAAAGUAUUUUAUUAAAAAGAAAUCCACCCCUCAAUUGUUGUUUCCAAUAUUUAUCAAAAAUGAUAGACUUUUAUGAAGGCCAUUUUGGGAUCAUUGAUUUGUCACAGCUUUGAAUUGUUUUGAAUAUAGGGUUGCUAGAGUUUUUCUCUUUGAUUUCCAUUUUCACUUUUAAAUGCAAGAAUAAAAUAUGAGCAUAAACUUGCUAAGCAUCAAAGGUAGCUAGGGAUGUGAGAGGUCCUCGUCUCGGCAUGGGAGCUUGCCGGGGCCUUCGGUCGUCAUCUCGGCAAGGCAGGCUUGCCGAGGUCUUGUACUUGGUGAGUUCAUCACGCCCACCAAAUGGGCGUGGCCUUGGUUAUCUUCCCGGCAAGGCAGGCUUAUCAAGGCCUUGGUAAUCUUGGGGGUUGUAUCUUGUCUGGGUCCUGCCAUGCCCUGCCGGCAGGGGCUCUUUGCGCCCGUGCACAAGUCUGGGGCACUAGGGACCCCAAUCUUUAGUGUACCGACAAUAAAUGUCAUCACAAUAAUCAUCAUAGAUAGGAGGCAUGAUUUCAUCAUAAUAAAUUUUCUCAUCAAAACUUGGGGAACAAAAAAUAUCAUCUUCAUCAAACAUAGCAUCCCCAAGCUUGUGGUUUUGCAUAUCAUUAACAUCAUGGAUAUUCAUAGAAGUAUACACACAAUAUUUCUAUCAUGCUCAUCAUUCAAGGAUUUCACAUUAAGCAUUUUUAUAAAUUCCUCCUCUAAAAAUUGAGCACAAUUUUUUGAACCAUCAUUUUCACGAAAGACAUUGUAAAGGCGAAGCAAAUGAGGCAACCUAAACUCCAUUUUUUUCGUUUUACUUUAUAUAACCAAACUAGUGGAAAACAAGGUACUAAAAGAUUUAAUUGCAAGAUCUAAAAAUGUACCUUCAAGCACUCAACUCCCUAGCAAAGACACGAGAAUUUUUUUUGUCUACUGCACAAUUUUAUUUUUCUAGACUAUGUUGGGCCUCCAAGCGCAGAGUUUUGUAGGAUAGUAGAAAUUAUCUCAAGUGGAUGACCUAAGGUUUAUCAGUCCAUGGGAGGUGUAGGGUAAAGAUGGUCUCUCUCGAACAAAACUGCAAUCAAAUACAAGAAAUCACUUGUGUCCCCAACACACCCAAUACAAUGGCAAAUUGUAUAGGUGCACUAGUUUAGUGAAGAGAUGGUGAUACAAGUGCAAUAUGGAUAGUAGAUAUAGGUUUUUGUAAUAUGAAAAUAUAAAAAUAGCAAGGUAGCAAGUGUAAAACGGCACAAAACAUUGUAUAAAUGCUUGGUAAUAAGGCCUAGGAUUCAUACUUUCACUAGUGCUAUCUCUCAACAUUGCUAACAUAGUAGAAUCAUAUGAUCAUCCCUCAACGUGCAACAAAGAAUCAGUCCAAAGUUCCUAUCUAGCGGAGAACAAUAAGAUGAAAUCGGUGUAGGUAGUUGAACCACGACAAAGUUAUUCUUUCUGAUCAGUGAUUUGAGAUAUUUCUAUAAGUGUCACAAACAACCCUAGAGUUCAUACUAGAAUAACACCCAUGAUACAUAUCAAUCAACCCUAAUGUCACCUCAAGUAUUUGUGGGUAAAUUGUGUGACAUACAUAAAAAAAUUCAGAUCUCUCAUGUUCAAUCCAACAAAAAAACUUAAAGGAGCACCUCAAGAUUUCUAUCGGAGAACAUAGUAUGAAAACGUGCAAUCAACCACUAUGCAUAGAUCACCAAGGUCACCGGAAUGACAAGUUGAUGCCACAACAUAUAUCAACUGAAUCACUUGAAUAACCCAAUGCCACUAGGAGUAUAUGCAUGCAAUACAUACAUCAAGUGUUCUCAAACCAAAAUAUUCAAUCCAAUAUAAUGACAUCUUAAAAGGAAAGAUUCAAUUCAUCACAACAUGGUAGCAAGGGAAUAACAUCACAUGAUCCAACUAGAUUAACAAGGACCGUGAUACAUAAAAAUCAUGCCAUCUCAAUAACACGAGAGAGAGAGAGAGAGAUGGAACACAUAGCUACUGGUACAUACCCCCAUCUCCGAGGUUGAACUACUCCCUCCUCGUCAUGGCCUCCGCCAUGACGACGAAGAUGGCCACCAUAGAUAAUUUCCCCUCUCCGACAGGGUACUAUAAAAGCUCUAGAUGGGUUUUUAUCAAUACAGAGAGUUGCGGCAGCGGAGUAGAAGUUCUCUCUUUAUUUCUGGUUUUUCUGGUAUAUAUAAGAUUUUUCAGCGUUGGAACCACGCCAAAAAAAUCCAUGUGUUCCCCACAAGCCAUGAGGGCCAGGCCUAGGGGGUGCUCUCUUGGCUUGUGGCCCACAAGUGGCUCCGCUCCGGUGGUUCGUCACUCCAAUAUUGCGUAUUUCCUCUACAAAAAAUAUAUAUAAGUUUGGGCAAUUCCGAGAACUUCCAUUUUGUACACAAAAACAACACCAUGGUAAUUCUGCUGAAAGCAACGUCAGUCCAGGUUAGUUCUAAAUAAAUCAUAUAAAGUGCAUCAAAACCACAGAAAAUUAUUGUAAACAUAGGCAAACAUAGCAUGAAUACUUCAUAAAUUAUCGAUACAUUAGAGAUGUAUUAACCGCCUAGGCUAACAUAAAGCAUGUUUGCGGCACAUUGCCAUCAUUGUGCCCCCCUUUUACGUGCCUGGCUCAUAUCGAUCCAAUAUCGAGCACGGCAAAUUUCCUCACCCAUCUGAGACCAUAUUGUGCUGAUGGCGCCGGUUAGCAAGAAAGCGAAGGCCGCGACGCCAGCCACAUACCCUCCCGACGCCGGGCCGGCUCUCUAGCAUUCCUCCGUCACCAAGAGCGAGGAAUUGGGCCCGAUGCUCCUGAUGGUUGUCACGACCAGAACGAGUGGCAGGCGAUGAGGAUCUCGCUAGGCUUGGUGACAAAGAGCAGCCUAGGAGAGUCCACAUACCCCUUCUUCCUCCACAACAUUUACGCUGGGUUGGUUCCACCAUUUUUCAAGUUUUUCUAUGCUAUCCUCUCCCACUAUGGUAUCGAGGCCUUCACCUUCAUCCCAACUCCAUCCUCGUCCUUGCCAUCUUCACCUUUUACUGCGAGGCUUUCUUGGGGGUGAGGCCCUCAGUGGCGCUGCCACUUCUUUAGCCCACGGUUCACCUCCCCAGACCGGCGUUUUGUGUAUGUCUCCUUUGUCGACAUCAAGUGGAAGACCAUCCUCAUGAAGGCCGGGAAAAAGUAAAGGGCUACCGGCAGUGUUGGGUCUUCGUGGAUGCAGACCAUGUCAACCCUUUCCUGGCUGACCCCAUGGCCGUGCCGAGUAAGACCAUCGGGUGGAUCCAUGAGAAGCUCACCGAUCGGAGAGCCACACCAGUCCUGGAGCAAAUCGCCACCCACGGGGACACCCUACUAACAUGGGCAAUGAUCGUCAAGGAAUUCCCGGGGCAUCACAUCACCCCUCUCCAGGCGCUUUUGCAACCUGUGUGGGACUACACCGGUGAGGAGGAUGUGAUGAGGCUUCACGCCGCUAACCUGACACGCGGCAAGAUGAGCGGGGCCCUGUCGGCCCUCCUCAACCUCGACCCAGAAGAUCCUGCCAAGGCUACGCCCCCGCUAUAUUACCAAGAUAACAAGGCUGAGCUUGUCGUCGACGUGCCCACCUUCAAUGAAUGGGUCUCGGGCCAAGUAGCCUCGCUGGGCCGCUAGACAGUGCCCCCAUCAUGGUGAUGUUCUAUAGCAACGAGGGAAGCAAUGAGGAAAUCUAAAGUGAUGGAGGAUGAGGAGGAAGAGGAGUAUUUCGGCCGCACGCCACCGUCGAACCUUCGCAAGUCCCUGUUGGACCUUGUACAGGACAGUGACGGCUCGGUCAGGCUGCCCCGAACGACGCCUCGAAUGCUCGGUGGCGCAAUGGGAGGAGCGGUGCCCACCGUCGUGGCCGACCAAACGCUGGCAGCCGAGGGCCACAUCGGUGUGGUCGGGACUAUUCCCGUGGCGGACACGCCCCCUUAGGGGUCUCCCCCAAGCUGUCAGGGAGGGGAGAGACUAGGCCAGAUGCGUCAUGGAGCACACCAAGCAUUCUCAUAGCGGCACCAAGGUGGCGCACGAGAGCAUUGGCGCUACACUAUCCACAGCCGAGAGGAAGAGGAAGUGGGACACCAAAGACGAGUAAGUGCCCUAGCCCGCUCUUCUACGUAUCUAAGAUUUCUCUACCGAUGCUAACCUCGUGACUUCGCAGGCACCAAUACAACAUUCAGGAUAAGAGGAAGAAAGGGAUCACCGGUGCGAAGGCGACCCCCAUCCCGAGGUCUGCACCGACACCUGGACACGACACCGGCGGGGAUGGGGGCAACCCGCACCGGUCCAGAUGCUCAGGCACGUGGGUGCCGCUUCAACCGAAGACUCUAGUGCUUUAGAAGUGCCUAGAGCCUCCCCCAUGCGACGAGGGGAAGCGAUUGCUGAGAUCACAAUGACCCAGACCCUACACCACCUGCCAAGGCUGCGGUGCCCCUACCCUCGGAGGAGGGGGUAGCAGCCGAGCUUCCGCAGGUUAUCACCACCCCCGCUGAUGGGCACGGUACGGAUUGUGCCCAGGGGCCGCCUCAAGCAGCACGUGCUUCCGGGUCCCAAGGGGCCCUCACGGAAAUUUCUUCAUAUGUGUUGCAUGAAUUGGGUGCGAAGGUGGGGCCGCAAGGCCCCGCUCCACAGGGAGAGGAUGUCGUGGCCUCUUUGGUGGUGGUGCCAACGAGCGCAGAGAUGCCUCCCCUGCUCGGUUCUUGACCUCGAGAGCGGCAGCGCCUCGCUCAAGCAUGGGGCCUUGACCAAUGUUUGAGCCGCGCUCGAUCGGCUCGAGGAGGACUUCCGAGACAUGGAGGCGUGCCUUGACGAGGAGGGCAUGAAGAUUGCCACCGGAUAGCGCCUACUCAACGCUGAUGCGGAAGAGGCCUAGAGUCGGGCCUAUGCAGCCAUCACGGAGAGCAAGCAGGAGGCCACUGAGGCAAGGCGGCUCGCAAGAGCGUGUUUGCCGUGCCAAGCACGUUCGCCCAGCGCCGAGAGGAGGCAGAGGGAAACUUGAAGGCGCUCCAAGAUGAACAAGCCGCACGCGCGCGAUAGCUCCACCUGUUGGACGAUGACCUCAAGGCCCGGGAGGCGCAGCUCGUAGCUCGCGACUCAUAGCACGAAAAGUUAGCGGUCGAACUUGUUGGUUUCUGAUCCAUAGAUCAAAACACUGAGCUACCCGUACGUAGGUACGUGCAAGCAAGCUAUCUUUCUAAGCUAAUAAGCAGGCAUGUGGAUGUAUUUCCACUGUACGCGCAACCUCCCCGUACGUAUUCGGCGACGGUCGACGGAACUCGCAAACUAAAUUGAUGGAUAGACUUUUUGUUGAUUGCCGCAGGGGUGUGUCGCUCCUGAGCUUUUUUAAUGCUUUGCUCGUUUCUGAUCUGGUGUUACAAUCAACACCCCUUGGGUGCCUUUUAUACACGUCCACAAGGGACUAUGGAAACAGACUAGGACUAGGUAUCCUAAUACUACUAGGAUAAGGCUUGGCUUUCUUUCCUAAUCCAACGUGUACAGGACAACGUGAUUAACUCACAUUCACCCCUUCAUCACGAUGUCCUUACUUUCGACCUGGGUCCCAAAAACGAUUGCUGCUUCACAAAACUGUUAUCAUCGGCAUGGCCUUUGCCGUCCCUUGCAGCAUUUCUUGGACCGUCUAUACUGUCGUCGGCUCGUCCGUAGCUUGAUGACAACACUCAUUUUUGGUCGUGUAUUCAAUCAUCACCUCUUCUUUGGUGCUUUGUAAACUGUCCUUCAUAUCAUCGAGGCCACAUCUUUUGAACCUGAGUGUGACCAUACUUUGGUCUAACUUUGAAUUCCAAGCUCUUGGCGCUUGCAUCAGCCCGUAAAGUGCCUUCUUGAGCUUGUCAACUUCCGCUUGUUCGUCUUACUUCUCGUAGCUGAGGUGUUGUUCUACGUACACUUCUUCUGUGAGAUCGCCAUUGAGGAAAGCGGAUUUAACAUCCAUAUGAUGAACCUUCCAAUCCUCUUGUGAUGCCCAAGCUAGGAGCACUCUCACUGUCUCGAGUCGAGCAACUGGUGCAAACACCUCAUCAUAGUCAACUCCUUGACGUUGUACGUAGCCCUUUGCAACGAGUCUUGCUUUGUACUUCACAGUGGCACCAUCCUUGUCCUUCUUUAACUUGUAAACCCACUUCAAACCAAUCGCCUUUUGGUUCGGAGGUCGGGUUACCAAAGUCCAUGUGCCAUUGCUCUCAAUCGCCUUCAUCUCCUCAUCCAUGGCAUGCGUCCAGCGAGGAAUUUUGCUUGCCUCUACGAAGUUCGCCGGCUCCUCAACUCCAAACAGACAUAGUCCGGAGUACUCGAGCGUAACUGGCUUCGUGUACUUGUAUACUUUCUUGAGGGUCUUGUAGCGAUGAGGCCCUGAGGAGUCCGUUGUGGCUUGUGAAGGAGGCAACACAAAUUGUGUCGGUGUUGAUGCACUUGAGGAAGACGGCUGAGACCCGGGCAUAUCAUCGACAUCCGCGUCAUCAGCGUAGUCGUCGUGAUCGUGACCAUCAUCUUGAUUGUCGUCGUCACUAUGCGCCUCGUUGUCGAUGUUGUCGUCGAUAUCUCCGCCCGUAUCGUGCGCUUCGUUGUCGCUAUCUCCUUGCGAUCUAUGCACGCCGUCGUCGGUGUCGGCACCAUGAUGAUCACUACCAUUGUGGUCACUUUGGUUGGGCGUCUUACCAACCACAUGGACAUCCUCCCCUCCAUCAUCAUCAGUUGGAAAUUCAACCGUGAAGAUGUUACUAUUUGGAGCAUCGUCGGCUAUGGCUCUCCAAUUCCACUCUUGGUAAUCUUCAAACACGAUGUCGCGUGAAAUUCGUAGACGCUUGGUUUGUGUAUCGUAUAAGAGGUAUGCCUUGGUGCCGGAACUCCUCUCGUAUUCGAUAAACACCAUCUUGGUGCUACGAUUGUCAAGCUUUGAGGGAUGCGGCUCCGGCGUCUUCACAUGUGCCACACACCCGAACGUCCUUAGAUGAGAUACAUUCGGCUUACAUCCAUAAAUUGCUUCAUACGGAGUCUUGCCGAUCACCGCCUUCGUUGGAGCCCAGUUGAGAAGAUAGACUGCCGUCGAGACACCUUCUCCCCAAAAGGUCCCCGACAGGUUCUUGUUCUUGAGUAAACUCCUUGCCAUGUCAACAACGGUUUGAUUGCGCCUUUCAGCGACCCCGUUCUGCUGCGGCGUGUAAGGUGUCGUGAGGAACCUCUUUAUGCCAAUCUUCUCGCAGUAGUCGUUGAACUCAUUCGACGUAAACUCUCCGCCGCGAUUUGUCCGUAGAGCGCGAACCUUCAACUUCUUUCCGUCUCCGUUGCAGCCUUUAGCUUCUUGAACGCUUCAAAAGCCUCAUCUUUAGAUCGUAGGAGAAUGACCCACAUAUAUCUUGAGUAGUCGUCUACCACAAGGAAGAAAUACUUCUUUCCCGCGUGAGUUGCCGGGGUGAUAGGGCCACAUAGAUCACCAUGGUGCAGCUCGAGUGCAUCACUUGCACAGUAGGUAGACCGAGCAGGGAACGGCCUGCGGUGCUGUUUUCCAACCAAGCACCCGUCACAUACUGGAUCAACAUGGUCGAUAACUGGCAUCCCGGAUACAAUCUCCAUCUUUGACAUCUUCUUCAAGGCGUAGAAUUUAACAUGUCCAAAUCUAGUAUGCCAUAACCAUGAAUCAUCAUCACUCUUGGUGAGCCAACACUCCGGUUGAGAUUGAUCAAGGUUGAGGAUAUAGAGCCGGUUUCGUGUGCGAGUAACACGAGCUAGCACAUUUCGAAGGUUGUCGAAGAUCGUCAUCACUCCGUUCUCGAUACCCACCUUGCAUCCAUUCUCGUCAAGCUUCCCAAUAGAGAUGAUGUUGUUGCAAAGUCGUGGGGUGUAGUACACUCCGUUGAGUAUGCGAUGUUCGCCUGUGAAACCCUCGAAAGGGACAGAUCCUUGCCCACAAAUCUCCACAUUUGAACCAUCACCAAACUUGACCGAUCCUUCAACAUCAUAUUCCAGCUCGAGAAAUUUCUCCUUGCAUCCCGUCAUGUGGUUAGUGGCACCCGUGUCGAGAUACCACCACACGUUGUGAUCCCCGGAUAACUUAGGUGUCACAUUCUUCUCAUGAAGUAGCACCUUCCGGCUUGGUUUCACAACCACUGUUUCAGCAAGAUCACAAACUUUGGCCAUCAGAAGACCUGGACCUUCGUCUUCCUGCUUUGCCAAAUUUCCCUUGAUCUCCCGCUUGUCAGGCUCCGGAAAAUCCUUUGCAAAGUGACCCAUCUCGUUGCAGUUACAGCACUUGACCUCGGACAUAUCGAAGUUCCGUUGCUUCCUCCCUUUAGAUCGAUCUGCCUUACCGUGACCUUGUGGCUUGCCUUUUCCUUUGCCUUCUCCGGUUUAUCCGCCGUGCGUUCCGUUGCUUGAGGCUUCGUUGCCAUCAUGCCUUCCUUUGCUACUUGGGGACUCCCAAUCUGCGCGCGAGUACAUGAGUUUGUCACUACCUCCUCUGUUGCCUUUCCAACAGUCAUGAGCAUUCUCUUCCCAUGUACGCAAGCGUUCGAUCGCCUCCGUUAUGGUCAUGUCGUCGAUGUCGUAAAGCUGCUCGAGUGUGCCGAUGAUGUACGUGAAUUUCUCAGUCACCGAACUGAAAAAUUUCUCCACAAUCUCGUUCUCCUCGAGCUUUGCACCAAGCGCGCGGGUCUCUCCCACCAAAGUAGUAAGAUGCAUGACAUAGUCGUUCACCGAUUCAGUUUCCUCCAUCUGCAACUUGUGAAAUUGGCGCAUCAGCACUUGUGCCCGAGCCUUGGUGACGCGAUAUUCUUCGAUCCUCAUCUCCUUGAGUGUGUUCCACGCCUCUCUUGCCGUCUCGAACUCCGCCAAUGUCAUCAGCACGGAAUCCGGCACGGACUAGGCUAUGGCGGCCAUGGCACCUUUGUCGGACUCGUCAUCGACGUCGUCGUCCAUGAUUGCCUGCCACACGCGGAGGGUUCGGAGAAUAAUCUUCAUCUUCACCGCCCACAUGCCAUAGUUGGUGUCGGUGAGCAUCGGGUACUGGAUGGGAAUGUCGCGAUGCGCCUGGACGUUGGCGCCACUCGUUCCCCCACCACUGGUCGCUGACUUGUCGCCCUUCUUCACCUUGUCGCUGUUCUUGUUUCCCUUGGGACCGCCUUUGCCGGACUUGACCGACUCAGCGUCGCCGUCUGUCAUCGUAGAUCGUAGAACGUCGAGGCUCUGAUACCAAUUAUUGGUUUCUGAUCCGUAGAUCAAAACACUGAGCCACCCGUACGUAGGUACGUGCAAGCUAGCUAUCUUUCUAAGCUAACAAGGAGGCAUGUGGAUGGAUUUCCACUGUACGCACAGCCUCCCCGUACGUAUUCGGCGACGGUCGACGGAACUCGCAAACUAAAUCAAUGGAUAGACUUUUCGUUGAUUGCCGCAGGGGCGUGUCGCUCCUGAGAUUUUUUAUUGCUUUGCUCAUUUCUGAUCUGGUGUUACAAUCAAUACCCCUAGGGUGACUUUUAUACACGUCCACAAGGGACUAUGGAAAUAGACUAGGACUAGGUAUCCUAAUACUACUAGGAUUCGGUUUGGCUUUCUUUCCUAAUCCUACGUGUACAGGACAACGUGAUUAAGUCACAGAGCUGGUUGCUGAGCGCAGGCGCCUGGAGGCGCUGCACCACGAUAUAGCCGACGCCCAAGAAGCUCAUGCCAAGCAUGUCUCCGAGGUCAAUGCCAAGGUGGAUGCCUGGGCCAAGGAGAUUCAGGAAGAGGCCGACGCGAAGGGGGUGGCGUCCCACGCCAUUUUCUCUUCCCUCAAGCUUAGGGCUCGUGUGGCCUUGAGCUCCAUAUGCCGAGAGCCUCCCGAAACCCUCCUGACAGCACCCAUCGCCAGCUAUGUCGAGAUUUCAUCCAAGCUUAUGGAGGAGCUCGAGGUCGCAGCACUGAAGGUAGAUGGCAUCCUAGAGGACGAAUUCUCAGGCCUCUUCUUUGUGGCAGCUACUCACGUCUUCAGCUACCUCCGUCUACACGAGCCUGACUUCAACCUUGAUGAGGUAAUAUGUCCUAUCCCUGAAGAGUAUCAUGAAGACUUAGCGAAGGCUGUGGAAAGCCACAUAGAGGUACUUCUUGGGAGGUUCUCUGCAGAAGCAAAGACAAAAGUCGCGACGACCCUUCAUCUUGAAGCUCCCCUUUGUCAUCUUACAAUAGACGGAUCCUGCCUCGCAAGGGCGUAAGACAACUGUUUUAAUUUGUGGAACCUUUAAAGCUUGUAAUAAAUGUCCUGAUAUAUGAGUUUCCUUUUCGCGCUUGGACUUUCCUGUACUUGCCUUCGCACUCCAUGCCGGCUGGGCCCAACUUCGUGCCCACUCCAGCCGCGGGAGCACACUUCGUAACGUCAGUAGUUUGCCAUUCUCGGGGUGCACCCCGUACAACCCCUCAGGCGGUCUACCCUGAAGGGGAGUUCCGCACGCGUGAGAUCCAUCUUGGCCGUGGAGCUUGAUGACCCACGAGUAUUGGGGAUCGAUCUUAGCCCUUUCGAGAAGUAAGAGUGUCGAUCCCAACGAGCAGCAGAAGGAAAUGACAUGCGGUUUUCAGCAAGGUAAUUUCUGCAAGCACUAAAAUAGCGGUAACAAGUCGUUUGAUAGCUAUAUAAUUGUAACAUGUGACGAGUAGCAAUAGUAGCAAUAGUUGCAGCAAGGUAGCCCAAUCCUUUGUGGCAAAGAACAGGACUGAAAAGUUUCUUAUAAUAGGCAAAGCGUUCUUGAGGGCACGCGGGAAUUUCAUCUAGUCACUUUUGUCAUGUCGGGUUAAUUCACGUUCGGUACUUUGAUAAUUUUAUAUGUGGGUGGACCGGUGUGUGGGUGUUGUUCUUACUUGAACAAGCCUCCAACUUAUAAUUAACCCUCUCGAAGAACUUGUCUUUGGAGGAGCUUGAUGAAGCCAUGGUGAUCUAGAUCUGUCAGAAAAAUAGCACGAAACAAGAACAGAGGAUUUCUCCAUGGUACUGGGGUCAAAUCAUCGUGAGAUAUAUACAAAUAAUUUUUAUACAAGGAAAUAUGUGUCCCACAAGAAAACGGAGCCAGGAAGGUGCCCGAGGGGGCCACUAGCCACCAGGCCGUGCUAGGGGGCUAGCGCGCCCUGGUGCCUAGUUGGCACCUGGGUUGCCUUCCCGUCUGUUUAUAAAUUUCCUAUUUUUUCUAAAAUUCCAAAACUGAGAGAAAAUACAUUUGCGGAUUUUUCUGAGUCCGUUUACUUACCAUACUCCAUACCUCUUACUUUUAAGGGUUCUGGAGUGUUCUAGAAGUUCUCCUUAAUGUGCUCCUCCAGUGUCAUGGUUUGGAUAAUAUUUGUUUCAACAUUAAGUGGUGUACCAGAAAUAUCGUGCUUUAUUCUUUGUCUAUUGACCACCUUUGGGUUAGUUCCUUCGGUAUUACUGAUCUUAAUAGCUCUAGACUGAUAAAAAAUUUCGAUGAUAUAUGGUCCUUCCAAUUUGGAGAGAAGUUUUCCUGCAAAAAAAUCUAAGACGAGAAUUGUACAAUAAAACAUAUUAACCAACUUUGAAUUCUCGCUUUUGGAUUCUUUUUUCAUGCCACCUUUUAACUUUUUCUUUGAAUAGUUUGGCAUCUUGAUAGGCUUGGGUUCUCCAUUCAUCUAAUGAGCUAAUAUCAAAUAACCUCUUUUCACCAGCAAGUUUGAAAUCAUAGUGGAGUUCUUUAAUUGCCCAAUAAGCUUUAUGUUCUAACUCAAGAGGUAAAUGACAUGCUUUCCCAUAAACCAUUUUAUAAGGAGACACACCCAUAGGAUUUUUAUGAGUUGUUUUGUAGGCCCACAAUGCAUCAUUUAAUUUCUUUUGCAAUAUUAAUUUUAUUUCUCUAUUGAUUUAUUCUACUUGAUCACUAGAUUCAGGAUGAUAGGGUGAUGCAAUUCUUUGGUUAACAUCAUAUCUAGCAAGCAACUUACAAAAAGCACCAUGAAUAAAAUGUGAACCACCAUGAGUCAUUAAGUAUCUAGUGACUCCAAAACGUGGGAAAAUUACUUACGUAAGCAUUUUAAUAGAGAUGUUAUGAUCAACACUAUUGGUUGGAAUAGCUUCUACCCAUUUAGUGACAUAAUCAACAACAACCAAAAUGUGUGAAUGCCCAUUAGAAAAAGGAAAAGGUCCCAUAUAAUCAAAUCCCUGAACAUCAAAUGGUUCAAUAACAAGUGAAUAAUUCAUAGUCAAUUCCCUACAUCUACUAGUAUUACAAAUUCUUUGACAUUCGUCACAAUAGAGGACAAACUUACGAGCAGCUUUGAAAAGAGUAGGCCAAUAAAAGCCAUACUAAAGUACAUUGCGUGCAGUUCUAUCUCCCGCAUGGUGUCCUCCAUAAGCCUCGGAGUGACAGUUCUGAAGGAUUUGUCCCUGUUCAUGCUCACGUAUACAACGUCUAAUAAUACCAUCUACUCCCUCUUUAUAAAUAUGUGGGUCAUCCCAAAAGUAAUGUCUCAAAUCAAAGAAGAAUUAUUUUUCUUUUGCUGAUAGGUGAAACUAGGUGGUAUAUAUUUAGCAAUAGUGUAAUUAGCAUAAUUAGCAAACCACAAUGUGUUAUGAAAAACAUUGACCAUAGCUAGUUGUUCAUUAUGAAAACUCUCAUCAAUAGGUAGUGAGUCAUGAAGAACAUUUUCUAACCUAGACAAGUUAUCGGCUACGGGGUUCUCAGCUCCUUUCCUAUCAAUGAUAUGCAAAUCAAAUUCUUGUAGAAAAAGAACCCACCUAAUAAGUCUAGGCUUAGCAUGUUUCAUUUCCAUAAGAUAUUUAAUAGGAGGAUGAUCAGUGUGAACAAUUACUUUAGAAUCAACUACAUAAGAUCUAAAUUUAUCACAAGCAAAUACAACUGCUAAGAAUUCCUUUUUAGUGGUAGCGUAAUUUCUCUUGGAAUUGUCUAGAGUUUUACUAGCAUAAUGGAUACCAUUUAAUUUCUUAGAAGCUCAUUGUCCUAGAACAACACCAACAACAUAAUCGCUAGCAUCACACUUAAUUUCAAAAGGCAAGUUCCAAUCAGGUGAUUGAACAAUAGGUGCAGAAGUUAAGGCUUACUUAAAUGUUUCAAAGGCUUAUACACAAUCAUCAUCAAAAACGAAAGGAACAUACUUUUGUAAUAAAUUAGUAAGAAGCCUAGAAAUUUUAGAAAAGUCUUUAAUAAACCUCCCAUAGAAAUGGCAUGACUAAUGAAACUAUGGAUAGCUUAACUAUCUUUAGGACAUGUCAUCUUCUCAAUUGCAUCAACUUUAGCCUUAUCCACCUCAAUACAUCAUUCGUAAAUUUUAUGACCCAAUACAAUACCUUCAUUUACAAUAAAGUGUCACUUCUCCCAAUUAAAGACAAGGUUAGCCUUCUCUCAUGUCUGCAAAACACGAUCAAGGUUCCUUAAGUAGUCAUUAAAAGAAGUACCAUAAACAGAAAAAUCAUCCAUAAAAACCUCAACAAUCUUUUCACAAAAAUCAGAGAAUAUAGGAGUCCCACAUCUUUGAAAGGUAGUAGGUGCAUUGCAUAAUCCAAAAGGCAUACAUCUAUAAGCAUAGGUUCCAAAAGUACAAGUAAAGGUGCUUUUAUCUUCAUUACGUUGUGACACACGUAUUUGAGAGAAACUAUAAUAACCAUCUAGAAAGCAAAAACGUGUGUGCUUUGAUAAUCUUUCUACCAUUUGGUCUAUGAGAGGUAAAGGAUAAUGAUCUUUUCUAGUAGGUUUGUUUAAUUUUCUAAAAUCAAUUACCAUUCUAUGGCCGAUCACAAUUCUUUGUGGAAUGAGUUCAUUUUUAUCAUUAGGAACAACAAUAAUACCUCCUUCCUUUGGAACACAAUGAACGAGACUUUCCCAUCUAGUAUCAGCUUUGGGAUAAAUUAUACCUCUUCCAGAAGCUUUAACAUUUCAUUUCUUACCACUUCUUUCAUUUUGGGAUUCAGGCUUCGUUGGUGAUCAAUAACGGGUUUAGCAUGUAAUUCCAUAUUAAUCUUGUGGUUACGUAGAGUGUGACUAAUGCCCAUAAGAUCGUCAAGAGUAUACCCAAUAGCAGCUUCUCUCUUCCUUCAAAAUUUUAACAAUAUUUCUUCUUCAUCCUCUGUAAGGUUAGCAUUGAUAGUAACAUGAUAUAUCUUCUUUUCAUCAAGAUAAGCACAUUUCAAAGUGUUAGGUAAUUGCUUUAAUUGAAACACAGGAUCACGCUUGGGUGGAGGAGGACCUCCGAGAGUUUCAACAAGCAAGUUGUGUUUAAGGAUAGGCUUUUUCUCAAAGAACAUAUUAUCUAGUUCACUCACUUCACGCAUAUGCAUAUCAUUUUCAUGGUCUAGCAACUAUCAUUGUAAUGGUUCAGUAGGAGGAAUGGCAAUAGAAGCAAGACCAAUUACUUCAUCUUUACGAGGUAAUUCUUUAUCAUGGAAAAAGUAACUACUCACAACUGAUAAUCAUGCUACAUGGCAACUCCCACCUCCCACCUCCUACACCGGCGACUCCAUGGCGAUCUGGAUUUCUAGCCGGCGUGCAUCUCUCUCCCCGCUCAUCAUCUCAGGUGAACUCCCAUGUUCCUCUACGUGUUAUCUAUCAUGGCCUGCAUGGGUGGCUCCACGCUAGAUCUGGAUUUUCACCUGGUGCGGCUUUUGCGGAUGAUGUGUUCUAUCGCUCUUGUUUAUCUGUGCACCCGAUGGAUCAUCGUCGACCUUCCAUCAUGGUGGUCUCUUUUAGUCGACACGUUUUCCGUUUAUCUAAGGAUUCUCCAGCUGCAGCACUUGAGGCUACCAUUGGGGGUUCGGCCAUUGAUCUUAUGGUCACACAAGUCACAGACUCGGUUUUCUCGUUCAGGGUUUCUUGCAAGCAAGUUGGUUUUCAUAUUCUCGCCUUGCGAUCUUAUAAAUGCUCCAGUUUUAAAUGUUUCUUUCAUCUCUAGGGCAAUGGUGGUCCGAAUUGGCAUCGUGAAUUUACCCUAUGGAGAAAACAGUGUGAUGUUGAAUGGAUUUUAGUUAGCCCAUCUAAGAGGAGGGCGGCAUGAGGUGUGAUGGCAAUGCAUUCCAGCCAUCUCAAGUGCUCUUUUAAAUCUGGAUCAUCUACACGCAAGAAACUAUCUUUGGAGCUCUCCAACAAUAUGGGGUUUGCAAUGGUUACAGGUGUCCUGUCACCUAAGAUGAAGUUACUACACUUCAGAAUGCUGGCUAUUCUAUUCCUCAGCAAGAGCGCGUUAUUAUCAGUGCACCACCGCCGGCUGAACUUUGGCGGACGAUGACGACACCUCACAUUACUUUCGGACGGCUUCACAACCGGUGUCACCUUCCGCUUUGUCCGGCAUUCAAAAUCAUUUUAGCGGAAUGAACGGGAUUUCUCCCUCUCUUGGUGCAGAUACUGUUCCUCCCUCCCCUUCGGGCGGGAUUUCUGGUUCUUUCAAACUGGCGCCAUCCGAUAGAUUAGUCAGUGGGACUUCCUAUGAUCAGUUCCCAACUCAUGGGACGGCAGUAGGUUCAUCUUCAAAUGGGCCGGAUAUUCCGUCCUUGCAAGAGGCCCGUCAGCUCUUCGCUGAUUUAAUUCAUGGCAUGUUUCAGGAGAUAUUUUCUUGCACAAUCUGUUUGAAUCGUGGGCAUCUAGCUCCCAACUGCACGACUUCGCCGAUAUGCUCUUCCUGCGGCAGGGCGGGCCAUACAAAAUCUAAUUGUGCUUCUUUUAUGCGUGAUAAUUGUCUUAUUUGGAAACGUAAGAGCCCCACCACCUCCCCUGACGCCGAUUUCUCGGGAACUUCUGCUGAUCUUGGGGAGACUGCGCAACCUGCCCGAUAGUUCUCCCCUGUCUCAUCGCACUCAUCAUCUCCCAGGACUCCAUCUGAGCCAUCGCCAUUGACACCACAUCCUCCAGUUACGCUCCCUGACAUGGCCAACUUCGAGCUCGACCAUGAGAGGUUUGUUCCUCCGGGCCAUCACAUCAUCGACGGUGGCCCCAACCGCCUGCCAAGGUCAUUCAUCACUCCAGCCAUACCCAUUGCCCACAAACAUGAACAAUUCAUCAUCGCGGAGGUUAUGCCUUCCAUGCCCCUCCGACCUUAUUGGUCAGGUACGACAUGAAGUUGUUGAUCUUCUGCACAAUCGGGGUUUCCAUGUUCGGUCUUGUAGUGCCCCAAGUGUAAACCUUCCAUAUUUGGAACCUAUUGCAUGUGGGUCCACCUUGUCAUGGAUAUGAUGAUGUCAUUUUGUGUCUAUGAUUUCAUGUGUCACCUUGUGUUCUUAUUCUCCUUUUGCGUGCAUGCAUCCAUGACAUACCAUCCUUGCCUUACCUUGUGAUGCAUGUGAUCUUGUUAGGAGUGAUGUCGUGGUCAUUGUGAUCUCCUGAGGUCGUGUUAUGAUUUCAUGUGGUUGUGAUGGUAGUACUAAGGGUAGUGGUGCUUGUCAUAUUUUCAAACCCCCUCUAUUUAUUUGCAAACCCCUUUCUCUCUUUUAAUCUCAUGUUAAAAAAUCCAUCUUCCCCAUAGCUGGUUUAAAAAUGUCUUGUGUUUGGAGUUAAUUGUGGAGAUGUUGGGGUGCCAGAUUUGGUGAUUUGUAGAGUGUCCUAAAGGUGCAAGAAAUCACAAAACAGAUAACACAAUUGCUGUUUUGUAAUUAUUUUAGUUGCUCCAAAAAUACCAUUUGUAUUUUAUUUAAAUAGGUUAUUUAUUUUGAUGACCAGGGCCAUUUUUAGUUUGAUUUUUUCCACCACAUAUAGCCAUGUGCUUAUUUUCUAUCCUUGUUUUAUUUUGUCAAAAGAAGAGGCAGGGUGGCCUUUCUUCUAUAUGGCGCCACCUGUGGGCUCUCUCCCACAGGCUGGCCCAUCCCACUCCUUCCCGCUCACGCCAGGAGCCCACCCCCGCUCCCCCUUCUCCCAUCUGACACCGUCCGCGACCUGCACCAUUCCGUCAGAAGCUGAGAGAGGGCGAGUUGCCGCCGUGUGCACCACGUCGAGGGGGCCCCCUUUAUAUUCGUUGGCGUCCGUGCCUCCCCCCUCCUCCUAGGGUUCCUCCUCUCCCCUUAUAUGCCGCCGCCACCUCUCUCCUUCCCCAUCUGUCUUCUCUGUCAGGUGAGUCUGUAGGUUCAGGCAGAGAGAGCAUAACUCCAUCGCCGCAGAUUGCCGUGCUUCCGUCGUCGUCCGCCGCCACCGCUAUGUCCGUGAGCACGGGAGAGCACCCCGCGUCCCAUUUGCAUCCUCGAAGAGGCCGGGGAGCGACCUCACCAGCGGCCAGCUCGACGUCAGCGCCUCGGUCCCGGUGCACUUCGUCACUGCUUCCGUCUACGGAAGGAUCUCCCUCGGCGCGUCUUCUUCCCCUCUGGUCCGGCUUCCUCCCCUUCAGAUCGGAGCCCCUCUUCCUUCCCUAGGUGAACUAUCGCUCCUCCUCCUUUCCCCUCGGUUGGAUCCGUCGGAGUGGUCGUCGUGCUCCUCUGUUCAGGGGAGAGAACGGCAGGUGCAUGCCAUGAUGAUGUGUGUAGUGUGUAGUGUGCUCGGUGUGAGUAGAUGUAGAGAAGAGACUCUCCUCGGAGAGUACGUGUGUCUUCCCCUUCCCUGCGGGCGUGGUAGAGGUUGUGGUAGAGGAUACCAUCUCCGGUGAUCUCUCUGUCACCGGCUCGCAGGUGCAGGCCAGUGAAUAGAAUCGUGGUAGUAUACCUUGUGUUAGAUCCCUACUCUGUCAGACAUCGAAGCGUAGCGUAGUGGUAGUAGUGCGUGUGCCUGAUGAGAAGGGCGUGGGUUCGAAUCCCCCCUUCGGCACCCUUUUAAUUGUUUUACAUUGCUCUGCACAGUAGAUAAACAGAGACAAGUUUCCUUGUCUAGGCAUCCCUCUCUAUCGAGCAAGCAGGCUGUAGCGCAGUGGUGUUGUGGUGUGCAGUGCACCAGGGGCAAAGGGGUUCGAAUCCCAGACUGCCCGACUUUCUUUUUCCCUUGUUUCUAUUUAUUUUCCCUUUGCUUUUGCUUGCUACACCUGUGCCUAAAACAAUAGAUGACAAUGGCAAUUAUGUUUUUCCCUUUGCUGCUAUAGAAGUGCCAGAUGAUGUGAUGCAUGUGUGUGUUCAUGUGAGAUGUGUAUGUGUGUGUGUGCAUACACAUGGUGUUAGCCACAUGUGUAUGUGUGUGGGUGUGAUGCCUCCCUUGUAGAUGAUGUAAGUGUAGGUGGCUUGUGUUCUUUUGCUUGUGUCUAGUUAGAUGGCAGUAGGUAUGUGCAUGUGUGUGUGAGUGUUGCACACACAUGAGGUGUUGCUAGUGUAUGUAUGCAUGUAUGUGUAGCUUUCAUAUCACUUUCUUGAUAGCUUUCCCUUAUGUUGUACUUGGGGUCUUAGAGCNNNNNNNNNNNNNNNNNNNNNNNNNNNNNNNNNNNNNNNNNNNNNNNNNNNNNNNNNNNNNNNNNNNNNNNNNNNNNNNNNNNNNNNNNNNNNNNNNNNNNNNNNNNNNNNNNNNNNNNNNNNNNNNNNNNNNNNNNNNNNNNNNNNNNNNNNNNNNNNNNNNNNNNNNNNNNNNNNNNNNNNNNNNNNNNNNNNNNNNNNNNNNNNNNNNNNNNNNNNNNNNNNNNNNNNNNNNNNNNNNNNNNNNNNNNNNNNNNNNNNNNNNNNNNNNNNNNNNNNNNNNNNNNNNNNNNNNNNNNNNNNNNNNNNNNNNNNNNNNNNNNNNNNNNNNNNNNNNNNNNNNNNNNNNNNNNNNNNNNNNNNNNNNNNNNNNNNNNNNNNNNNNNNNNNNNNNNNNNNNNNNNNNNNNNNNNNNNNNNNNAUGAGCAUAGAUAUGUGACAGUUGUUCUAGUGGGAGUUGCAUGAAAUGUUGCACUAUUCACUAUGUUGGAUUCUAUAUAGUUUUUCCUUCCUAGUUUGAGCUCACUUGCUCCAAGCAAGUGCAUGUGUUUUAUAUAUGGUUUUGGGGUAGAAAGAUCCCAGGAUUACAUUGGUGAAAUCAUUUUUACCAUUGGAACAUUUUCUGGAAAAGUCAUAUUUACAUUUUCUUCUAAGUUUAGAGCUUGGUUCCAUGGAUUAUGAUGUGCUCUUGUAUUUGUUUCUUGAUUGUGGUAGUAGAGGGUGACCGCCUCUACCACCUGUUGGUUUCAAUUCAUGAUUUGGAAUCCAUGUGUGCAAGUUGUGCCCAUCCAAAGUAGGCAUGUGACUGAAAUUCCAGAUUAGUGAAAAUCUGAGAUUUUCACUAAGUCUGAGAAUCUGUUUAUAUUUUCUUCUCCUGUAGAUGAGGUUGUGCUGGUCAUUGUGUUGUGAUCUAGCCCUAGCUUUCAACUAGGACGUUGGACCUGAUACGUUUGUCUAGAUCUCUGUAAAAUUUCCUGUCAUUUGGAGCCCUGUAGGUAUUGAUUUGGCUGCUGUCAAAAUGCUUCAGAGCAAAGACAGAAAGUUAGGUGUAGGAAUUUUCACAAAGUCCCUGUGAUCUGAUGGUUUUAGGAAAGUUUGCAGCGUUGUAUCUUCCUCUGUUUAAUUCCUUUUUGUGUGAUUCUUGCUUGCGCUGGUAGUAUUCUUGGCUAGCUACAACCACAUAUAUUAUUUGUCAUAGUUGGGUGGUUGUAGGUGCUUUGCAUGUAGCUCACAAAGUGCUAUGAUGCAGUUUAUGACAGAUUGUGUAGUUUUGUCAUUUUGAUGAUUGUGAUUGCUUAGUUGAUGUUGUGGUGUUCUUCUUUGCUCCACCCUAUCCAUGAUGGGUUGUUUUAUGUCUUGGCAACCUGGGAAUACCAGAUUUUAGCCAUUUGAGUGUGUGGUGAUGAUUUUGACACGUAGGGUGUCAUAUCUUGUUUCGUUGAUUCCCGUUGAUCCGUAGCUCCGAUUGUAUUGUUCUUUAUAUGGUUUUGCAUCAUUUUCACGAGACGCAUCUGAUCAUGUCAUUCUCAUGCAUGUAAAAAUAGGUUAGCAUGCAGUUCUGUCCAGGAACAUGUUUUAGCUUCUUUUGCUUGUGCUAGUGAUAGAAAUAGUGAUGCAAGCUCAUAUUCAUCUCAUGCAUCAUUUGCUUGUUGCAUCUUGAGGUGCUGUUGUUCAUUGAUGUUAUUCUUAUGUUGGGUAGCACCAGGAUCGGAGAACGAAUACGUGGAUUCAGGAGAGUAUGUGCAGGACGAACAAGAUCCAUUCCAAGCUGAGGAUAUCACAGGCAAGAUGAUAUGACCUUGAUUCCAUCUCUAGACUUGUUAUGCUAGUUUGCAUUUCCAUGUCAUAUUGCUUGCUGCCUACCACUGAAUUAAAUUGCCUCCUGAUAUGCCAUGAAACCAAACACCAUCCCUACCUAGCAAAACUUGAAUGGUUAAGUAGGCUUUGCUCAGCUACUAAUGUUAGCGUUGCUAGAUGCAGGUGCUUUGUCUCAUGUGACAACAUGAGCUUGAUAUCAUUAUCUUAAAUUCUGUUAUUUAAUUAAUGCACCUAUAUACUUGGUAAAUAACGGAAGGACUAGCCUUUUGCCGGGUGUUUUGUUCCGUUAUUGCCGCCAUAGUUACCGGCUACCGGUGUUUGAUUCCAUAUUGAUCGCUCCUAACACGUUCGGGGUUGUUAUGGGGACCCCCUCGAUAAAUCACGUAGUGCUAAGGCUUGUCCGGCAGGACCCAACAUUGGUGUUAAUUUGCUAAUCACUUAAUAAUAAUCUGCAUAGGGAAUAGCUAUCCCGAGGAAUUUAAUCAACAACCCGGACCAGUGCUCCUCAUGAGUGUUGGUCCAAACUAGAGUCAUGUGCGGGGCCAACCCGGGGAAUUCGGGAGAUGUCUAUCAGGCCACUGUACGCUGUGCUCAUCUGGCGUGUCCUGAGACUGAGAUACGCGGCUCUUAUCAGGGUCAUCGACACGUCGGGAGGUCCUGCUAGGCUUGCCUUACCUUAGCGAUAUAUCUUGCGUAUAGGAAUCCCAGUGAAGCUUUGGUUCUCCCCAGAGUUUAGGUUUUCCUCUAAGGAAUCCGACGAGAUCACGAGAUUCGUCAUAGAGGAUUACUUUGCGGCAUGUGUACGUUUGUGAUGGACUAGUUGGAGCACCCCUGCAGGGUUUAAUCUUUCGGAAAGCCGUGCCCGUGGUUAUGUGGCAACUUGGAAUAUUUUGUUAACAUCCGGUAAUAGAUAACUUAAACUUAAACUAUUAAAAUUGCCAACUGUGUGCGUGACCGUGACUGUCCCCUCGAAGAUCUCUCUUCGAUCGGGAAUAUGGUGGGGUUAUGACUGACGUAGGUAGGUGUUCAGGAUCACUUAGUGAUCAAGUAUUCACGACCGCUAGUAUGGACCACCUUCAUAAAUGUUCUACGUAAGUUCGCCACCAAGUCAAGCUUAGGAUGCUGCAACCUUAAACACUUCACCUUCUCCUACCUAAUAACUUGACUAGUUCUGGCACCAAGGUCUUAGAUUGCUGAGUCCCCGAGGCUCACGGAUUCCUCCACAAUACCAACAGGUUCAGGAACCACAGAGACAGAUGAUCCCGACAGCACGCAGCUGGCGUGGCAGUACGAUGAGGAGACAGACCGCUUGUACGUGAACUAUCCAGAAGAUUGAGGCGUGGUCGUGAUCGUGGGCCUGCACGCAGGGUAGCAUAGCCUUUCUCUGUUUUGUAGUAUGUAGCGGAACUACUUUGGUUGUAUGCGUGAUUUACUCUGAUAUAUUUAUGAGAAGGCCAUUGAACCCCUGAUUGUCUAUCUUUUAUUAUUAUGUAUGUGCUGUGUUACAUGUUUGCGAGACGCUUAGAUGCGCUCCUUUCCAAUUCGGGGCCUCGAUCCCCAGAUCGUAAAGGACCGCAUCUUGGUCGUUACAAGUUGGUAUCAGAUCCUUACGACCAUAGGAGCCUUUGUGUGAUCGUACUUGGCCGAGUCGAGUCUAGAAAAUGUUUUGAGUCUUAGUUAUAACGGAGGGUAGGAUUCUUUUUUCUCCUCUUCUAUGCUGUGGUGAGGUUCCCGCCUUAGGAAAUCUUUAACUCUACUUCUUUUCUCGCUCAAAAUUUUUUUAGGAUCACGCGGGUAUUUGUGAAAUCUAUAUGAUUUCGAUAUGACAGAGUCCUGUCCUGGUGCCUCCUAUCUGCUUUAAGUUUCAGGGGAGUUGAGCUACAGGGGAUUCUUGCGCACAUCGCCAUCAUUCAGAUUUCUGAGUAUCUAAGAACGAAGGAUGUUCGUUAUUGCUUCAAUACUGGAAGUGGUGAGAUAAACUCGAUGUCCCCAAUACUGGUGCAAAUUGUUCGGGGGUACUACCACACUUGGUAUCGUUGUGAUCACGAGGAUCUGUUGUAGAUGAAGGUCCGAGAUGCUGGUUGUGUGUUGAAGGAUGUGAGACAGGUGACGGGUCAGUUUAGGAGUUGUCUGAAAUACUCCUUGUAUCCGUGUACCAGAUUGCAUGACCAGUUAUUUCGGGAAUUCAUAGGUGGGAUAUCAAGUAGUAUCUUAUAGGACUAUCUUCCUACAGACGCAUGAUUGAGGUUGGGGAAAUCUCGAUCGUAUGUUUGUUCCCAGCAAUUCUAGCUCACACUUGUUUGCAGUGGUCCUUAUCGGAAUUUUUUUCGUCCGUCACUUUGAGGAUGCAUUCUUGCUAUGUUGUUCAAGUGCAAUUGCUAAAUUCUGUUCAGAUAUUCUGUCUUUUGAUUCAGCAAUAUCUUCAAUUAUUCUGUGGACUAAUAUGUUGUCCGUCUUCAGGAUGGCUCCACCGACUCGUCAGAACCCAGGGCGUGAGGAUAUGCCGCCUCCACCUCCUCCCCCUCCGCUGUCGCCGCCUCCUCCUGUAGAGGCCUGGCAAGCGGUGAUGGCAGCUCCUAAUGCAAACACCCAGAUGCUGAUUCAGUUGCUGCAAGAGAGAGCCAACCAACAGCCACGCAAUUUUCAACAUGGUGGAAAUCAGUUUGCGAGUCUGAGUCAGUUUCUGUCGAACCAGCCAAAGACGUUCACUUCCUGCGACCAGCCAUUUGAUGCAGAAGAUUGGAUCCGUGAUAUGAACAACCAUUUCGAGUGUAGCAAUGUGCGUCUGGAGGAUUAUGUCAAGUUUGCAACGUUCCAGUUGAAGGGGCAAGCUUCUAUAUGGUGGCAGCAGCUGAAGGACCCCAGAGGCGCUAGGGUGAUUUCGUGGGAUGAGUUCUGUCGUGACUUCAGGUCCCACUACAUCCCUUCCAGUUUUGUGGAGGAGAUGUGUGAGAAUUUCACGCGUUUGAAGCAGGGCGGCAAUUCCGUGUACAAGUACAAUGUUGAGUUCCACGAGCUGGCCCGUUACACGCUGCAGGAUAUCCCGGAUCAGAAGAGCAAGAUUUAUCAGUUUAGGGGUGGCUUGAAAGAAGACUUGCAGUUAGCUCUUGCCUUGCACGAUCCUGAGGAGUUCGACAAGUUUUACAACCUAGCGCUCAGAGCAGAGGUAGCCUUGCUCAGGGUGGAAAAUUUCAAGAAGCGCUUCAGAGAUUCCAGCUCUUCCUCGACUCAGGUAGUUCAGAAGCAACAUAAGUUUUGGGUUUCUCCUCCUCCUCCUCGGCACUUGCAGCAGCUUAAGCACUCAGGUGGUUGUGGUUCUUCCCACCCACCCAACCCUGGCUUCCAACAGAGAUACCAGCAUCAGAAGCAAGGGCCACCUCAGACUCAGUACCGGCAGCCAGCAGAUGUCACUUGUCACAAGUGUGGGCAGAAGGGUCACUAUGCCAACAAAUGUACUUCUCAGCUCCGUCUGCCGCCUCCUCCUCCAGGCAAACCUCCAAGCAAUGCUCUUGUCAAGUUCAACCCCAGAUCAGCUCGAGUCAACAUGGUGAACGCAACUGAAGUAGAGAACUCAUCAGAUGUGAUCAUGGGUAACCUCCUCGUCAAUGUUAUUCCUGCUAAAGUGUUAUUUGAUUGUAGUGCAUCACAUUGCUUCAUGUCCCGACCAUUCUUUGCAAAGCAUGAGUUUGUUUGUCAAGAUUUGGUUAAGCCUAUGUCAAUAGUUUCUCCUGGGAGAUUGAUGAAUUCCAAUUGUCUGGUUCCGAAUGUUUCUGUCAAGAUGGGCGCUUAUGCUUUUCUGGCAUCUCCUAUUGUCUUGGGCAAUUCCGACAUCGACUUGAUUCUUGGUAUGGACUGGCUGGCCAUGAACAAGGCGUCAAUUGAUUGUGAAGCCAAAGAAGUGAAGGUUACCCACUCUUCGGAGGACGUGAUUAUAUUCGCGGCGCGCUAUGAUACAAUCCGUCUAUUCUCUUUGAAUGAAAAGGGUGAGAUCAAUCCUAUUAAGCAAGUCCCAGUGGUCGGCGAAUAUCAAGAUGUGUUUCCUGAAGAGCCGCCAGGCAUGCCUCCGCACCGUGAAGUUGAGUUUGUCAUUGAGCUUGAGCCAGGCACAGAGCCAGUGUGCAAACGGUCGUACAAGCUGGGUCCAGAAGAAUUGAAGGAACUUAAGAGGCAACUCGAUGAGCAGGAGCAUUUGGGUUUGAUCAGACCGGGCUCGUCUCCGUGGGGCUGUGGUGUUCUGUUUGUCAAGAAGAAGGAUGGCACGGACCGGCUGUGUGUCGAUUACCGUCCAUUGAAUAAGAAGACAAUCAGGAACAAAUAUCCACUUCCGAACAUAACUGAGUUAUUCGAACAGUUGAAAGGUUCUAUAGUAUUCUCCAAGCUUGAUCUCAGAAUGGGCUAUCAUCAAAUUCGCAUUCGCGAGGAAGACAUUCCGAAGACGGCCUUCAGGACUAGUUUUGGCUCGUAUGAGUAUACGGUCCUGUCUUUUGGUCUGGCAAAUGCUCCUCCGACAUUCUGUCGAUUGAUGAACUAUAUUUUCUCCCCGUACAAGAAUGGAUUUGUCUUGCUCUAUCUCGACGACAUUCUGGUCUUUUCUGAAACUGAGGAAGAACAUGAAUAACAUCUCAGAUUGGUGCUUGAUAAGCUGAGAGAGUACAAGCUGUAUGCCAAGUUUUCCAAGUGUGAGUUCUGGCUGAAAGAAGUGGUGUAUCUUGGGCACAUUAUCUCUGCCGAGGGCAUUAAAGUUGAUCCGUCCAAGGUUCAGGCCGUUGUUGAAUGGGAGCCUCCGCAGAAUGUGAAGCAGGUUCAAAGCUUUCUUGGGCUUGCUGGCUGUUGCAGAAGGUUCGUUGAGAACUUCUCCAAGAUCGCCAAGCCACUCUCAAGUCUUCUUCAGAAGGGUGUUAAGUAUGCUUGGUCUCCAGAGUGUCAACUGGCCUUCGAUACACUCAAAGAGAACCUUGUUGGAAUUAUGCCCUAGAGGCAAUAAUAAAUAUAGUUAUUAUUAUAAUUCCUGUAUCAAGAUGAUCGUUUAUUAUCCAUGCUAUAAUUGUAUUGAAUGAAGACUCAUUUACAUGUGUGGAUACAUAGACAAAACACUGUCCCUAGCAAGCCUCUAGUUGGCUAGCCAGUUGAUCAAAGAUAGUCAGUGUCUUCUGAUUAUGAACAAGGUGUUGUUGCUUGAUAACUGGAUCACGUCAUUAGGAGAAUCACGUGAUGGACUAGACCCAAACUAAUAGACGUAGCAUGUUGAUCGUGUCAUUUUGUUGCUACUNNNNNNNNNNNNNNNNNNNNNNNNNNNNNNNNNNNNNNNNNNNNNNNNNNNNNNNNNNNNNNNNNNNNNNNNNNNNNNNNNNNNNNNNNNNNNNNNNNNNNNNNNNNNNNNNNNNNNNNNNNNNNNNNNNNNNNNNNNNNNNNNNNNNNNNNNNNNNNNNNNNNNNNNNNNNNNNNNNNNNNNNNNNNNNNNNNNNNNNNNNNNNNNNNNNNNNNNNNNNNNNNNNNNNNNNNNNNNNNNNNNNNNNNNNNNNNNNNNNNNNNNNNNNNNNNNNNNNNNNNNNNNNNNNNNNNNNNNNNNNNNNNNNNNNNNNNNNNNNNNNNNNNNNNNNNNNNNNNNNNNNNNNNNNNNNNNNNNNNNNNNNNNNNNNNNNNNNNNNNNNNNNNNNNNNNNNNNNNNNNNNNNNNNNNNNNNNNNNNNNNNGUUAGUAUGGAUCAAGACUGGGAUUUGUCACUCCGUGUGACGGAGAGGUAUCUCGGGGCCCACUCGGUAAUACAACAUCACACACAAGCCUUGCAAGCAAUGUGACUUAGUGUAAAUUGCGGGAUCUUGUAUUACGGAAUGAGUAAAGAGACUUGCCGGUAAACGAGAUUGAAAUANNNNNNNNNNNNNNNNNNNNNNNNNNNNNNNNNNNNNNNNNNNNNNNNNNNNNNNNNNNNNNNNNNNNNNNNNNNNNNNNNNNNNNNNNNNNNNNNNNNNNNNNNNNNNNNNNNNNNNNNNNNNNNNNNNNNNNNNNNNNNNNNNNNNNNNNNNNNNNNNNNNNNNNNNNNNNNNNNNNNNNNNNNNNNNNNNNNNNNNNNNNNNNNNNNNNNNNNNNNNNNNNNNNNNNNNNNNNNNNNNNNNNNNNNNNNNNNNNNNNNNNNNNNNNNNNNNNNNNNNNNNNNNNNNNNNNNNNNNNNNNNNNNNNNNNNNNNNNNNNNNNNNNNNNNNNNNNNNNNNNNNNNNNNNNNNNNNNNNNNNNNNNNNNNNNNNNNNNNNNNNNNNNNNNNNNNNNNNNNNNNNNNNNNNNNNNNNNNNNNNNNNCAUGUCUACAUAGUUCUCAAACCCGCAGGGUCUGCACACUUAAGGUUCGACGUUGUUUUAUGCGUAUUUGAGUUAUAUGGUUGGUUACCGAAUGUUGUUCGGAGUCCCGGAUGAUAUCACGGACGUCACGAGGGUUUCCGGAUAUGGUCCAGAAACGAAGAUUGAUAUAUAGGAUGACCUCAUUUGAUUACCGGAAGGUUUUCGGAGUUACCGGGAAUGUACCGGGAAUGACGAAUGGGUUCCGGGAGUUCACCGGGGGCAACCCACCCCGAGGAAGCCCAUAGGCCUUGAGGGUGGCGCACCAUCCCUUAGUGGGCUGGUGGGACAGCCCAAAAAGGGCCCUAUGCGCAUUGGAAGAAAAAUCAAAGAGAAAGAAAAAAAAAGGAGGAGGUGGGAAGGGAAGGAAGGACUCCCACCCACCAAACAAAGUCCAACUCGGUUUGGGGGGAGACCUUCCCCCCUUGGCUCGGCCGACCACCUUGGGGCUCCUUGAGCCCCAAGGCAAGGCCCCCCUCUCCCACCUAUAUAUACGGAGAUUUUAGGGCUGAUUUGAGACGACUUUUCCACGGCAACCCGACCACCUACCUCCACGGUUUUUCCUCUAGAUCGCGUUUCUACGGAGCUCGGGCGGAGCCCUGCUGAGACGAGAUCAUCACCAACCUCCGGAGCGCCAUCACGCUGCCGGAGAACUCUUCUACCUCUCCGUCUCUCUUGCUGGAUCAAGAAGGCCGAGAUCAUCGUCGAGUUGUACGUGUGCUGAACGCGGAGGUGCUGUCCGUUUGGCACUAUAUCGUGGGACAGAUCGCGGGAUAGUUCGCGGGGCGGAUCGAGGGACGUGAGGACGUUCCACUACAUCAACCGCGUUCACUAACGCUUCUGCUGUACGGUCUACAAGGGUACGUAGAUCACUCAUCCCCUCUCGUAGAUGGACAUCACCAUGAUAGGUCUUCGUGCGCAUAGGAAAACUUUUGUUUCCCAUGCGACGUUCCCCAACAAAGCUUACCUCCACUCCGGUCUUGGCCCCUCCGGAUGAUUCCAAGCCAUACCAGGUCUUUUGCGACGCUUCUCUCUAGGGUCUUGGUGCAGUCCUGAUGCAAGAUAAGAAGGUGGUUGCUUAUACCUCCAGGCAGUUGAAGCCUGCGGAGAAGAACUAUCCUGUGCAUGAUCUCGAGCUAGCAGUUGUGGUACACGCCUUGAUGACUUGGAGACAUCUCUUGUUGCAGCGUAAGGUUGAAGUUUUCACCGAUCACAAGAGUCUCAAGUACAUUUUCACUCAGCCUAACUUGAAUCUUCGGCAAACACAUUGGGUGGAAAUGCUCCAGGAUUUUAAUCCGAGUGUUGAGUACUCGCCAGGCAAGGCUAAUGUCGGGGCAGAUGCUUUGAACAGGAAGGCAUAUUGCAACAGUCUGAUUCUGCAACCUCUCCAGCCGGGUCUUUGUGAGUCUUUCAGGAAGCUCAACCGUCAGCUAGUACCUCAGGGAUUUCUUGCGAACCUUCAGAUCUCUCCUACCUUGGAAGAUCACGUCAGAGCAGCUCAACUUCUUGACACUCUGGUGAAGAAGGUGAAGAUUGGCGUGGGAAAGAGCCUCCCCAAGUAUAAGUGCUUCACUGUUGAUGCCAGGGACACGUUGUUUUUCGAGGAUCGCUUUGUCGUCCCGAAAGGUGAUCUGAGGAAGGUAAUCAUGGAAGAAGCUCAUAACUCUCUGCUCUCUAUUCAUCCUGGAAGCUCCAAAAUGUACCAUGACUUUAAGCAGACAUUCUGGUGGACUCGUAUCAAACGUGAGAUUGCUCAGUUCGUAAACGAGUGUGAUGUAUGUCGAAGGGUGAAAGCAGAACAUCAACGCCCAGCCGGCCUUUUGCAGCCUUUGCCUAUUCCCGAGUGGAAGUUCGAUCACAUUGAGAUGGAUUUCGUCACCGGGUUUCCGAAGUCCAAGAAGGGUAAUGAUGCUAUCUUCGUCGUCAUCGACAAGUUGAGUAAAGUGGCUCAUUUUCUUCCAGUCAAGGAGUCCAUUUUAGCAGCUCAGCUGGCAGAGUUGUACACCUCCAGGAUUGUCUCUUUGCACGGCGUGCCUAUGAUGAUCUCUUCAGAUCACGGAAGUAUCUUCACUUCCAAGUUCUGGGACUCCUUUCAGUCUGCUAUGGGCACAAAGAUCUGCUUUAGCACAGCGUUAUAUCCUCAGACUAGUGGUCAAGUGGAGAGAGUGAAUCAAGUUCUUGAGGAUAUGCUAAGAGCCUGUGUUAUCUCUUUUGGCAUGAAGUGGGAAGAUUGUCUGCCUUUCCUGGAGUUCUCGUAUAACAACAGUUAUCAAGCUAGUUCUGGCAAGGCUCCGUUUGAAAUUCUCUAUGGCAGGAAGUGCCGUACUCCGCUCAACUGGUCCAAGACCGGCGAGCGUCAGAUCCUUGGCAAUGACAUGAUAGAAGAAGCUGAGGAGAUGUGUCGGAUCAUUCGCGACAACCUCAGAGCAGCCCAGUCCCGUCAGAAGAGCUAUUAUGAUAGCAAGCACCAUGACAUGUCUUAUGAGCUUGAUGACUUUGUCUAUCUCAAGGUGUCACCUAUGAAGGGUAUGCAGCGCUUUGGCAUCAAAGGCAAGCUUGCGCCUCGUUUCGUUGGUCCGUUUAGAGUGGUUGGCAAGAGAGGCGACCUUGCGUACCAGCUCGAGCUCCCGUCUACCUUUGCAAAUGUCCAUGAUGUGUUCCAUGUUUCUCAGCUUCGGAGGUGUUUCAAGAGCCCCGAGCGCACUGUGCAUCUUCAAGACAUCAACCUUCAGCCUGACCUUUCUUAUCGUGAGCAUCCAGUUGCGGUUCUCGAGGCGACUGAGCGCAAGACCCGUAACAAGACUGUCAAAUUUCUCAAAGUGUAGUGGUCACACCAUUUCGAUAAAGAGGCGACUUGGGAACGCGAGGUUCACCUCCAUUCUGAACUUCCCAAUUUCUUUCAGUCUUAGAUCUCGAGGGCGCGAUCUUCUUUGUAGUGUGGGAGAGUUCGUAGUGCCCCAAGUGUAAACCUUCCCUAUUUGGAACCUAUUGCAUGUGGGUCCACCUUGUGAUGGAUAUGAUGAUGUCAUUUUGUGUCUAUAAUUUCAUGUGUCACCUUGUGUUCUUAUUCUCCUUUUGCAUGCAUGCAUCAAUGACAUACCAUCCUUGCCUUACCUUGUGAUGCAUGUGAUCUUGUUAGGAGUGAUGUGGUGGUCAUUGUGAUCUCCUGAGGUGGUGUUAUGAUUUCCUGUGGUUGUGAUGGUAGUACUAAGGGUAGUGGUGCUUGUCAUAUUUUCAAACCCCUUCUAUUUAUUUGCAAACCCUUUUCUCUCUUUUAAUCUCAUGUUAAAAAAUCCAUCUUCCCAAAACUGAUUUAAAAAUGUCUUGUGUUUGGAGUUAAUUGUGGAGAUGUUGGGGUGCCAGAUUUGGUGAUUUGUAGAGUGGCCCAAAGGUUCAAGAAAUCACAAAACAGAUAACACAAUUGUUGUUUUGUAAUUAUUUUAGUUGCUCCAAAAAUACCAUUUGUUUUUAUUUAAAUAGGUUAUUUAUUUUGCUGAACAGGGCCAUUUUUAGUUUGAUUUUUUCCCACCACAUAUAGCCCUAUGCUUAUUUUCUUUCCCUGUUUUAUUUUGUCAAAAGAAGAGGCAGGGUGGCCUUUCUUCUAUAUGGCACCACCUGUGGGCUCUCUCCCACAGGUCGGCCCAUCGCACUCCUUCCCUCUCGCGCCAGGAGCCCACCCCCGCUCCUCCUUCUCCCACCUGACGCCGUCCGCGCCCCGCACCUUUCCGUCAGAAGCUGAGAGAGGAUGAGUUGCCGCCGUGUGCACCACGUCGAGGGGCCCCCCAUUAUAUUCGUUGGCGUCUCUGCCUCCCCCCUCCUCCUAGGGUUCCUCCUCUCCCCUCAUCCACCGCCGCCACCUCUCUCCUUCCCCAUCUCUCUUCUCUGUCAAGUGAGUCUGUAGGUUCACGAAGAGAGAGCAGAACUCCAUCGCCGCCGAUCGCCGUGCUUCUGUCGUCGUCCGCCGCUGCCGCUAUGUCCGUGAGCACGGGAGAGCACCUCGCGUCCCAUUCCCGUCCUCGGUGAGGCCGGGGAGCGACCUCACCGGUGGCCAGCUUGACGUCAGUGCAUCGGUCCCGGUGCACUUCGUCACUGCUUCGGUCUACGGCAGGAUCUCCCUCGGCGCGUCUUCUUCCUCUCCGUUCCAGCUUCCUCCCCUUCAGAUCGGAGCCCCUCUUCCUUCCCUAGGUGAACUAUCGCUCCUCCUCCCUUCCCCUCGGUUGGAUCAGCGGGAGUGGUCGCCGUGCUCCUCUGUUCAGGGGAGAGAACGGCAGGUGCAUGCCGUGAUGAUGUGUGUAGUGUGUAGUGUGCUCUGUGUGAGUAGAUGUAGAGAAGAGACUCUCCUCGGAGAGUAGGUGUGUCUUCCCCUUCUCUGAGGGGCGUGGUAGAGGAUACCAUCUCCGGUGAUCUCUGUGUCACCGGCUCGCAGGUGCAGGCCAGGGAAUGGAAUCGUGGUAGUAUACCUUGUGUUAGAUCCCUACUCUAUCAGACAUCGAAGCAUAGCGUAGUGGUAGUAGUGCGUGUGCCUGAUGAGAAGGGUGUGGGUUCGAAUCCCCCCUUCGGCACCCUUUUAAUUGUUUUGCGUUGCUCUGUAUAGUAGAUAAACAGAGACAAGUUUCCUUGUCUAGGCAUCCCUCUCUAUCGAGCAAGCAGGUUGUAGCGCAGUGGUGUUGUGGUGUGCAGUGCACUAGGGCACAGGGGUUCGAAUCCCAGGCUGCCCCAUUUUCUUGUUCCCUUGUUUCUAUUUCUUUUCCCUUUGCUGUUUCUUGCUACACUUGUGCCUAAAACAAUAGAUGACAAUGGCAAUUAUUUUUUCCCUUUGCUGCUAUAGAAGUGCUAGAUGAUGUGAUGCAUGUGUGUGUUCAUGUGAGAUGUGUAUGUGUGUGUGUGCAUACACAUGGUGUUAGCCACAUGUGUAGGUGUGUGGGUGUGGUGCCUCCCUUGUAUAUGAUGUAAGUGUAGGUGGCUUGUGUUCUUUUUCUUAUGUGUCUAGUUAGAUGGCAGUAGGUAUGUGCAUGUUUGUGUGAGUGUUGCACACACAUGAGGUGUUGCUAGUGUAUGUAUGCAUGUAUGUGUAGCUUUCAUAUCACUUGCUUGAUAGCUUUCCCUUAUGUUCUACUUGGGGUCUUAGAGCUUAUGAUGAGUUUGUGGUAUGAUAUGUAUGUGGUAAAACAGCCCCAUAUGCAAGUUGUGCACCUCCUCAUGUUUAAUAUGAGAGAGAGCAUGAUGUGUGUGUGUGUGGGUGACUUAGUGAGAAGUAUCUGUGUUGUUGAUGUGCUUGACACCAACAUGGGGUCCAAACCCUCAUGUCCAUAUUGUCUUUGUGCACAUGAGCAUAGAUAUGUGAUAGUUGUUCUAGUGGGAGUUGCAUGAAAUGUUGCACUAUUCACUAUGUUGGAUUCUAUGUAGUUUUUCCUUCCUAGUUUGAGCUCAAGCAAGUGCAUGUGUUUUAUAUAUGGCUUUUGGGUAGAAAGAUCCCAGGAAUCCAUUGGUGAAAUCAUUUUUGCCAUUGGAACAUUUUCUGGAAAAGUCAUAUUUACAUUUUCUUCUAAGUUUAGAGCUUGGUUCCAUGGAUUAUGAUGUGCUCUUGUAUUUGUUUCUUGAUUGUGGUAGUGGAGGGUGACCCCCUCUACCACAUGUUGGUUUAAAUUCAUGAUUUGGAAUCCAUGUGUGCAAGUUGUGCCCAUCCAAAGUUGGCAUGUGACUGAAAUUGCAGAUUAGUGAAAAUCUGAGAUUUUCACCAAGUCUGAGAAUCUGUUUAUAUUUUCUUCUCCUGUAGAUGAGGUUGUGCUGGUCAUUGUGUUGUGAGCUAGCCCUAGCUUUCAACUAGAAUGUUGUACCUGAUAUAUUUUUCUAGCUCUCUGUGAAUUAUCAUGUCAUUUGGAGCCCUGUAGGUAUUCAUUUGGCUGCUGUCGAAAAGCUUCAGAGCAAAGACAGAAAGUUAGGUGUAGGAAUUUUCACUAAGUCCCUGUGAUCUGAUGGUUUUGGGAAAGUUUGCAACGUUGUAUCUUCCUGUGUUUAAUUCCUUUUUGUGUGAUUCUUGCUUGCGCUGGUAGUAUUCUUGGCUAGGUACAUCCACAUAUAUUAUUUGGCAUAGUUGGGUGGUUGUAGGUGCUUUGCAUGUAGCUCACAAAGUGCUAUGAUGCAGUUUAUGGCAGAUUGUGUAGUUUUGUCAUUUUGAUGAUUGUGAGUGCUUAGUUGAUGUUGUGGUGUUCUUCUUUGCUCGACCCCAUCCAUGAUGGGUUGUUUUCUGUCUUGGCAACCUGGGAAUACCAUAUUUGUGCCAUUUGAGUGUGUGGUGAUGAUUUUGACAUGUAGGGCGUCACAUCUUCUUUCGUUGAUUCCCGUUGAUCCGUAGCUCCGAUUGUACUGUUCUUUAUAUGGUUUUGCAUCAUUUUCACGAGACGCAUCUGAUAAUGUCAUUCUCAUGCAUCUCAAAAUAGGUUAGCAUGCAGUACUGUCCAGGAACAUGUUUGUGCUAGUGAUAGAAAUAGUGAUGCAAGCUCAUAUUCAUCUCAUGCACCAAGGUCUUAGAUUGCUGAGUCCCCGAGGCUCACGGAUUCCUCCACUAUACCAACAGGUUCAGGAACCCUAGAGACAGAUGAUCCCGACGGCACGCAGCGUGCGUGGCAGUACGAUGAGGAGACGGACCGCCUGUACGUGAACUAUCCAAAAGAUUGAGGCGUGGUUGUGAUCAUGGGCCUGCAGGCAGGGUAGCAUAGCCUUUCUCUGUUUUGUAGUCUGUAGUGGAACUACUUUGGUUGUAUGCGUGAUGUACUCUGAUAUAUUUAUGAGAAGGCAAUUGACCCCCUGAUUGUCUAUCUUUUAUUAUUAUGUAUGUGCUGUGUUACCUGUUUGCGAGACGCUUAGAUGCGCUCCUUUCCAAUUCGGGGCCUCGAUCCCCAGAUCGGAAAGGACCGCAUCUUGGUCGUUAUUGGUCUGCACAACCCUGGAUUGCGGGGGUAGGUUUAUCUGAGCUCAGAGAUGCUGGAGAGAGUUUUGCUACUCUUCACAUGGUUCCUCGGGACUUGGGGAACAACUCUUUUGAUAGAUUCAUGCGACACAAUGAGGGCGCAGGUUUUCGUGGCGCAACUGGGUUUCGUCAAGGAUGCCUGAUGUUUUUGGGCGUGCCGCUAGAUUUCCGUAACGCUGAUGAUCUUCGUGCUGCGGUGAACACUUUUGGUGAAUUCCACCAUUGGGUGAGUGAUGAUCCAUAUCUUGUCCGCUCCAUAGUCUUUCCAUCGUUCCCGGACGAUUUUUUGGUUCCUCGGAGUGUUACGUUCUCCGAAUAUGCUGCUUGGGGUGGAGCAAGGGUUUCUUGGUUUGCGCCAUUAUUCAUCCUGGGUGCGGCCUUUGCAGAGAAGAUGCCCAACAAUGAAGAUUGCAUGCCCCUCAAUGGCAACUCCCACCCGAUGCCAGGUCAGCUUGAGGAGGAUAAUCUGCUCUUUGCUCUACCUCCUUACCCCCCUCUAGGGUGGAACGAUGUGCCGCCACCACCUCCAAUGCCAGAGCCUCCAGUUCAACCGAAAGAGGGAGGUUGGGGUUGGCACGCCGAAGCUCCUGAUGCCGAAACUGUCGCGCCUGAGCAGGAUCAAGAGUCCAUGGUCAUUGACCAACCAACAUCCUCUGAUUCAGUCCAGGAAAUUAUGUCCUUGCCAAUACUGCUACCGAUGAUCAUGCCCCUCCCAAUGUUGAGAAUCUUGACGAUGACGCUCCUGAGGAGUACAACCCGCUCGCAAUUGUUCCUUAUCAGUAGCACAUCUUUAGGCCAGUUAACCUGAUGAUUGGAGCAGUCUGUGUUGCUUAUGGUCCUCCGUUGCCGCCUGUUGUUUCAUGGGCAAGAUCUUUUGAAGCACUCAUGGGGGUGUUCAGUUCAGUGCAUGUCCCUCGUCACCUCCACAUGCCAGCGGCUAUGCCUAUUGCGCUCCCCAAGCGCUCCUGGUCAAUUGCAUUUGAUGAAUACCGUGGGGAGCCCAGCAUUGUUUAUAAGGACUACACUCAUACCCCCAGCUCUGAGGUAACGCCACCAACUGACAGCAUCUUUGCACCAUCAGGGGAUCUUUUUUCUUUUGAAUCACCAGCUGCCACGAAGAAGGUGCCACUCAAGAAGGCCACUCCAAUUAUGGACUCAUCAGUCCGCAGAUGCACCAGAGGAUCUGUCAAGCGUGAAGGCUUCAAGCUUGUUUUGCAGGGGCUUCCGAUGCACGUGCCCAAGAAGAGAAAGCCGCGCGCUAAACCAAUGGAUGUACCGGAGGUUCAGGCAGCCCCACCACCGUUGCAGGAGGAGCCCGUCCCACUGGCAACCCCAGUUCGGGUGAUCCAAGCUAUUGGCCAAAGCCUUGGCAUCGCUCCUGAGAAGCUCACUUCGGAUGGACUUAUGGAAGAUCCUGCUGUUUCCAAGCCUCCACUCAAUGAUGAUUAGACAAGUGUUUAUGUCCCUAUGCUUUAUACAUUGUUUCCUUUAUCAUGAUACUGCUUGCUGUGUCACAACUCUUUGAACUAUGGUUGUGUCAGUUAUUAUGUAACUGUGCCUUUUAUUAUUAAAUCUUGUUGCUAUGGAUAGUCGAUCUACAAGAAGUUGGCGGCUUCUUUGUUGGAAUGUGUGUGGAUUAAAUUCACAUUCACGGCAAAGGGCAGUUCGUAACAAAAUAGACGAAAGCUUGACUUCAGUUGUUUGCCUCCAGGAAACAAAAAUGCAACAUAUUGAUUUUUGGACUGUUAGAACUUUUUGCCCCAAAAGGUUUGAUCAAUUUCCUUAUAGCCCAUCGCGUGGUGCCUUUGGUGGAUUGAUCACCCUAUGGAAUUCCUCCAUUUUAUCUGGAACCCUGAUUGAAUCUCAACCCUUUGGUUUAGUUGUGUCAUUCACCUCAAAUCAUAUUUCUGAAACUUGGACUCUGGUCAAUGUUUAUGGUCCUUGCCAAGGAGAGGCUAGAGAUUAGUUUUUCAGCUGGUUAUAUAACAUAAAUAUAUGUGUCAAUGAUAAUUGGCUGAUUCUUGGAGAUUUCAACUUUAUUCUCUCACACUCUAAUACAAAUCUUCUUGGUGCUGAUGUGAAUGAUAUGUUUAUCUUUAAUGAAAUUAUUGGCCAUCUGGGUCUGUUAGAACUACCACUGAAGGGAAGGUCUUUGACUUGGUCAAAUAUGCAAGAUUCACCACUACUUGAACAAUUAGACUGGUUUUUCACUUCUACCAAUUGGAUAUCCUCCUAUCCAUUGACACGGGUUCUUCCUUUAGCAAAAUAUGCAUCUGAUCAUGUCCCCUGUGUUGUGACAGUCAACACUUCCAUUCCCAAAUGUAACAUGUUUCGUUUUGAAAACUAUUGGGUGGAGAUGGAUGGAUUCCUUGACUGUGUCUAGAAUUAUUUGAAGAUUCCUUCCAGGAAAAGUCACAUCACUACCAUCAUCAUGGAUAAGGUUAAACACCUAAGGCGGGCUCUAAAGACAUGGCAGACUAGCCUCUCUCAGAUCAAAGCACUCAUUGAUAAGUGCAAUAAGGUGGUGCUCUGUCUGGAUAAUCUUGAAGACCUCAGACCCCUAUUCAGACCGGAAGCUAACUUCAGAGUGAUUGUGAAGCUUCACCUUGAACACCUUCUGCAUUUGCAAUUCCUUUACUGGAAAAAGAGAACUACUAUCAGAUUCAUCAAGGUGGGGGAGGAGAACACCAAGUUUUUCCAUGCCAUGGCAACUGAAAGAUAUAGAAGAAACUCUAUUUCAUCACUUCAAUUGGAGGAUGGAUCUGUUAUAUCCGUUCAUGAGCCUAUUGUUGUCUGUUUUUGGUCAUCCUUUAAGGACAGGAUGGGCUCCUCUCAAGGAAUUAACCUGGCUUUCAAUCUUCAGUCUCUCAUACAUAGGGUAGAAGGACUAGUUGUUCCUACUUUACCUUUUACCAAAUAGGAGAUGGAUAAGACUGUCAAAGAAAUUCACAUUGAUAAAGUUCCAGGUUCAGAUGGUUUCAAUGGACUUUUCUUCAAAAAAUGCUGGCAUAUCAUCUGUCCUGACUUUUAUCAGCUUGCCAAUGAUUUCCAUGCAGGGAUUGCAAAACUAGAAAAUAUGAACUCCUCAUACAAUACCUUGGUGCCAAAAAAUAGUUCUCCUGAACAAGUAGGUGAUUUUAGGCCCAUCUCUCUCACUGGAAUUGGACUUAAAUAUCUUUCCAAGAUGGUUGCCAAUAUAAUGCAGUUACAGAUCAUGAAAUGCAUCCAUAAGAACCAGUAUGGUUUCAUCAAGUUCAGAACCAUCCAAGACUGUGUUGGAUGUACAUUGGAAUACCUCCACAAGUAUCACCACUAAAAAAACAUUGUCAUCCUCAAACUUGAUUUUGAAAAGGCUUUUGACUCUGUGGAACAUGAAUUUAUAUUUCAGAUUCUUAGGCACAAGGGUUUUAAUGAGAGGUGGAUAUUAUGGGUACAGCAACUACUCUCUUCUCGCUUUUCCUCUGUUCUUCUUAAUGGUGUUCCUGGUAGAAAAUUCAUGUGUAAGAAGGGUGUCAGGCAGGGAGAUCCCAUGUCCCCUCUCCUUUUUGGCAUUGCUGCUGACUUUCUUCAAACCUUGGUAAAUCAGUUGUUAGAAAAUGAGCUCAUUCAGCUACCAAUACCUUGCCAUGAUAAAGACUUCUAAAUAGUCCAAUAUGCAAAUGACACUCUUAUCAUUUUGCCUGCUGUGGAGUCCCAGCUACUGGAGUUCAAAAAGAUGCUUAUGCUUUUCUCCUAGUCCAUUGGUCUCCAUGUGAAUUAUCACAAGUCUGCUCUAUUGCCUAUCAAUAUUGAUCAAGGAAAACUUCAAAGGCUAGCUGCCUCCAUUGGGUGUAAGGUAGGAUCACUGCCUUUCACCUAUCUUGGACUGCCUGUUGGGACAACCAAACCAAGGAUUAUUGAUCUAAAGCCGUUGGUGGAUAAUAUGGAAAGAAGACUCUCUGCUAGCUCCUCCUUCCUGGCUCAGGGUGGUCUUUGCAAUAUCUCAACUCAACUUUGUCCUCUGUUCCAUUUUUUCCUAUGUAGUCUGUACAUACCACCAGGGAUCAUUAAGCAGUUGGAAAGGAUACAAAGACAAUGUCUUUGGCGAAAAAAUGGCCAAGACCAUGCCCCUUCUCUUGCGGCCUGGGACUUGGUGUGCAGACCAAAAAUGAAAGGUGGUUUGGGGAUUAUGAACCUGUCUGUCCAGAAUGAGGCUCUCUUCUGAAGCAUGUGGAUAAGUUCUUGAAUAAAGCAGAAGUACUCUGGGUUGAUUUAAUAUGGAACACUUACUACCACAACACAGUUCCACAGGGUACCUCCCUUUGUGGAUCAUUCUGGUGGAAAUAUAUGUGCAAGAGAAUGGACAAUUUCAGGGUUGUCACCUAUGUACAACCAAAUAGAGGAGAUACUUUCCCCUUUUGGUCUGAUUCCCGGGCACUAGGCGGCUCAACCCUACCCCUAGAUCAUCGGUUCCAACGACUGUUCUAUUUUUCUAUUGAUACAUUCUGCACUGCUGAGGAGGUUUUCCAAGCAUUUGCGACAAAUAGCAUGACCAACAUGUUUCACUUGUCACUUUCUGACAGGGCCUUCCAAGAGUUAGAAACGGUCACCUGCUUUAUCCGAAACCUUAAUAGAGAGCAGUUAAGCAAAGAUGUAUGGCUUUGGAGUAGUGAAAGUAAGGUUCACUCUGCUAAGUAAUACUACCUUCAUGUCCAUCAGCCCAUUAUACCCAACCCUCUCCUAACUUGGAUUUGGAAGAUUUUCUUCACCAUGAAGAUCAAAAUGUUUGCGUGGAUGCUCAUUAUGGACAGGCUGAACACCCAGGAUAUGCUUGAGAGACGCCACUGGAGAGUUUCUUAUUCAAACCUAUGUGUCCUAUGUCAUUCAAGGGUCAAAGAGGAUAGGGAUCAUCUCUUCUUCAACUGCCUAUUUAGCAGCAGGGUUUGAAACUAUCUACAGAUAACAUGGCAGGGUACUUCCAUGUGGGACACUUCAUUCGCAGCGAGGAAAGAUUUUUAGCAUCCUUUCUUCUCUGAAGUACUGUUCACUGCCUGCUGGAAUAUUUGGACAGUCAGAAAUGCAAGGAUUUUUAACAAUGAGCGUCCCAGAUUCAAUAAAUGGAAGUCUAGCUUCACUCAUGAUAUAUCUCUUUUAGCAUAUAGGAUUAAGGCUAGAUUUAAGGAAGAUCUCCUUAAGUGGAUCUCCUUCCUACCUCCGUGAGGUUUGUAUAUCUGCACCCACCUCCACCCCUGUUGUAUAUUCUAAUCCUCUCAUGUACAUAAACUCUCUUUAUGUUGGAAUAAAAGAAAAGGUUGUGGGGUGAUUCCCUACAGUCGUUCGUAAAAAAAUUCUUUAUCAUGGGGUUGCCUACUGAAGUUGGAGAAAUGAAACUCAUGAGACAUACCACCAAACUUAACUCUGACAUUUUACUUUUUGAAAUCUAUUUGAGCAUUGAAAAUGCUCAAGAAGGGUCUACCAAAUAUUAUGGGACAAAAAUCAUCUUGUGGUGAGCCAAGUACUAGAAAAUCAGUAGGGUAUUUUACUUUUGCACACAAGACUUCAACAUCUCUAACAAUCCCAAGUGUGUCUCUAUUAGCCAGUUUAAUAGUAACAUCUAUGUCUUCUAUUUCAGCGGGUUCUAUCUCAUGCAUAAUUUCUUGAUAUAAUGUAAAAAUGAAUAGCACUAACACUAGCACCCAUAUCACAUAAACCAUGAUAGCAAUGAUCUCCUAUUUUGAUUGAGACGAUGGGCAUGCCAACAACAGGUUUCUUGUUAUCUUUAUGAUCAGGUUUGGCAAUUGUUGGAGCUUCAUCACAGAAAUAAAUAACAUGCCCCUCGAUAUUAUCGACCAAGAGCUCCUUGACCAUAGCAAUACUAGGUUCUUCCUUGAUUUUCUCAUAGGGUUUGGUUGUUCUAACAUAAAUAUUGUUAACCAUGGUUGAAGUUUUAGCAUGUUCCUUUAUCCUAACAGGGAAAGGUGGUUUAUCAAUAUAAGCAAUAGACAUAACUGGGUCAACAUUGUAAAUGAUUGUUUCAUCCUCAACUUUAAUUGGUUCUUCAACUUUUUCUUUAAUACGUGGAUGAUAUUUAAACCAUUUAUCUUUAGGGAGAUCAACAUGAGUAGCAAAGGUUUCACAGAAUGAAGCUACUAUCUGAGAGUCAAGUCCGUAUUUAGUGCUAACAUAAUUGUAAGCAUCGGUAUUCAUAAUAGAUUUAACACAAUAAAAGUUAAGUUUUAUACCUCACUCUUUACCUUCAUCAAGUUCCCAAUCUUUAGAAUUAUGUUUAAUUCUUUCCAAAAGAUCCCAGCUGAAUUCAAUAGUCUUCUUCAUAAAAGAACCAGAACAAGAAGUAUCGAGCAUAGUUUGAUCAUUACUAGAAAGCCAAGCAUAAAAAAUCUGAAUAAUAAUUCCCCUCGGGAGCUCAUGAUUGGGGCAUGAAUGUAACAUUGACUUCAGCCUCCCCAAGCAAGAGCGAUACUUUCUCCAUCACGUGGCCAAAAAUUAUAGAUAAAAUUCCGAUCACGAUGAACAAGAUGCAUAUGAUGAUUUUUUUGCUGAAACUCCAAUUGCAAUUAACUCCGGUUCCAAGAUCCUGUGUCAUCACAUGUCCUAUACCAUAUCAAUGCUUUCCCCCAAAGAUAAAUGCAAGACCUUCUUCUUGACUUCAUCUCCAAAUAAACCUACAAGCUUAAAUAAUCACAAACUUCAUCCACAUAGAUUAGGUGCAUAUCAGGAUAUUUGUCCCAUCUCCUCCAUAAGGAUUAGCUAGCAAUUUCUCUAUCAUACCCGAAGGAAUUUCAUAAUAAACAUUUUCAGUAUGUUCAGCAGGUUGAGGGACAACUCUUGGUGUUUCCGGUCGAGGUGAAGAUCGCCAGAACGAACCCCUCAAAGGAUUACUUUCCAUAGUGAGAAGUAACAGUAAAUUUUAGCGCGUAAUAUAAAUUUUCCCUUACCAAAUUCCGCUUACCAAAGGCAUUCACUCCCCGGAAACGGUGUUGGAAAAGAGUCGUGAUGACCCACAAGUAUAGGGGAUUAAUCGUAGUCCUUUUAAUAAGUAAGAGUGUCGAACCCAACGAGGAGCAGAAGGAAAUGACAGACGGUUCUUAGCAAGGUAAUUUCUGCAAGCACUGAUAUAGCGAUAACAAGUUGUUUGACAGCAAGAUAUUUGUAACAAGUAAUGAGUAGCAAUGUUAACAAUAUGUGCAGCAAGGUAGCCCAAUCCUAUUGUGUUCAAGGACAGGGUGGAACGGUUUCUUAUAAUAGGCAAAGCGUUCUUGAGGGCACACAGGAAUUUCAUCUAGUCACUUUUGUCAUGUCGGGAUAAUUCACGUUCGGUACUUUGAUAAUUUGAUAUGUGGGUUGACCGGUGCUUGGGUGCUAUUCUUACUUUAACAAGCCUCUCACUUAUGAUUAACCCUCAGGCAAGCAUCUUCAACUACGAGAAAAGUAUAAAGAAUAAAUUCUAACCAUAGCAUUAAACAUAGGGAUCCAAAUCGGCCCCUUACGGAAUAGCAUAUAAACUGGGGUUUGAGUCUCUGUCACUCUCGCAACCCAACAUCUAAUUACUACUCCAUAAUUCAUCCCCUUGGGCCCAAAGAUGGUGAAGUGUUAUGUAGUCGACGUUCACAUAAUACCACUAAGAGAAUCACAACAUUCACAUCAUCAAAAUAUCGAACGGAUAUCAACUUCACAUGACUAAUUGCAACAUGACUUCUCACGUGGCCUCAAGAACAAAAGUAAAUACUCAUAAGUGAUAAACAUGCUCAUGAUCACAGAGGUAUUAAAUAGCAUAUUGCAUAUGAUCUUCCACCAAAUAAACCGUAAAACAUCAACUACAAGAUGUAAUCAACACAACUAGUCCCACCCCAGGUAUGAAUCUAAGGUUCUGUUUCAGAACCCCGAUCCUAAGUCAUACAAAUCUAGCAUGUAACACAUCAUAUAGAUUUGGGGCCUCACACACGGUAAACAAUGGCUGACACCUUACCUUGGCCGGACCGUUUGUGCCUUUUGUCUCAUGUAUAUGAUUAUGUCGCUAGCAUCCAUACGACAAAGAACCCCAGUCGACAGGAGUAGUUAUAAACCCAAGUGGCACAACCAUAUAGGGACAAGCAUACAUAAGCCAACAAUGCAAGUGUCAAUCAUGAGCGUGUGUAGACGAGUCAUAGAAAGCUACAAGGACUCCAUUACACUGUGUGAUGUUUCACCUUAGGGACAGGCACAACAACAAAGAAGGAUAUAUGCCAGUCAAUCAAUGUGUCCAGAGCAGUAGCAUGCUACCAAGGCUCAAUGGAAGCACAAAGAGGCAUUUCCCUGUAAAGAAGGCUACUAAAGGCGUACAAUUAAGUGUCGAAUCCCACACAUACCAAUGCAUUUCAAACAUACACGAAAUAUGCACGAUAUGUGUAGAUACAACAUGGCAUCACAACAUAACUCUACAAUAUAACAUUUAUUUAGAAGGCUCUGAAGAGCCAACAUAGUAUAAUGUUACAAGUAGGGGGGUCACAUGACCCAACAUUCACAGCAUACAAAGAACAAGCAGAAGUUACUUCUCUAGGUACAAACAUCUACUAAAAAUGGACGGAAGAGCCUAAAGAGAUACAACGACCCUACCAAAGGAGCCAUGCCUCUGUCUGGGAUUCCCAAGCUAUUCUGGUCGACAUUGAACACAUCGCAUAGAAUUAAUAGUGAGGCUAAGGUCUCAUCUACAAAAACAUAAAUAAACACUAUGACCAUGAAUUCUUUAUUUCAGGUGGGAUAGCGCAGAUGAGUCCACAUAUUCACCAAAUCAAUACACCACUAUGGAUCCUCUCCCGUCUCCCUACAAGAAGGCCAUCCAUAUCACUCACACUUAUCUUGCGCAUUUUAGAGUAUCCAUUUCAUUUGUUGAUGAACCAUAUAAGUGUCCAAGUAGUCUAUAUCCGAGGAUGCAUAUAUUCGAAUAGAUCAUUCACCCUGGAGGGCUAUACUUCUUCACACACGCUCCCGCCACUUAUCCCCAUGUGCACGUCAUGUACCCCGAGAACCUUCAAGCACAAGCUCGGCGAGGGAGUCAGACACGGACGUUAACUUACAAUGAAUCAUGCCCAAAGGUAGUCGCGUAUCUGAGUUCGAACCCAUAAUGGAAGUCCGGCCGAGGUUUCCAAUGCGGCCUCAAACGAUGUGAGCAGGGCCCCAAGACGGUCUUGACUGGGUUGUUCAUCCACUUCGUACGCCAUGCCACAACCUAUAAACGUUUUGAACUACUGUGGCUCCUGGACUGAGAAGAGGGAAGUUAAUAGGAUGAGAGGGGUCAAGUUACCGGAACCGAAUGUGCGGUAGUAUAUUGUCUUGGAACACAAAUAGAGGACCUUAGGUCCUACGAGCGGUUUCAAUGAGACAACCCACCGUGUACUCCUACAUGGCCUCUCGUCACUACCUUUACCAAACAGGAUUCACACACUUAGCUUUCACACAGAUGGACAUGGUCACAACCAUUCCAAUUCAUUGCCCACAUAGAUUAGACCCGACACAACUCUAAGCAUAGCAGGCACAGUAAGCAAGCAUGGAUGAGUAGGCACAACAAGGCUCGGACAGUUGCUACUCAUGAUAAGUGGUUUCAAAUAUUUAAUUGACAAGGACAUGUCAUGCAAAGGAGUGGGUUAACCUACGGAAACAUGUAACAGUUGAAUCUUUGUUAUCCUAAUGCUGUAAAAGAGAGCAGGAGCGAGAGAGUGAGAUUGUAUUGGAAUCCUCAAAGGGGGUUUGCUUGCUUGACAGUUCUGAAGAUAACAAUGAGUCUUCAUUGGUAUCAACGAUCACAACAUCGAGACAACGUCUACCGAGGUGAACAAACACCGGCAACAGAAAAGGAACAACAUUUAAUUCAUAGUAUUGUAACAUUAUGAUGCAUGCGCAUGACAUGGCAAUAUGAUGUUGAUUGAGCUAAUGCAUCUAGCAACAACAUUAAAUGAAGUUGGUUUUCAACCUAAGGUUCAAAUUCAAACUCCAUAUAUGGUUACUUAAAUGAUUUGUCCUGAAUAGAUGACACAUGUUGUGGUAACAUGCAUGAAAAUGCAAUAUACAAAUUCAUUUGAUUUUGUGAUAAUUUCUUGUAUAUAAAUUAUUUCAUUUGGAGCUAUGGUUGAAUUUAUAUGAUUUCUAUAAGCUUAGGUUAUUUUUUGGAUUUUUUGAGAAUUGUUUUAAUCCAGAAAAACACUAAUUGCGUCAGCAUGACAUCAUCACCGUGUCAGCAGGUCAAAUGCGCUAGGUCGAGGUCAAACCUGACCCUGGGUCCCACAUGUCAUUGAGAGAGUGUUAUAUAAUAGUUAGAUUAAAACUAAUAACUAGUUAAUUAGGGCAUGUGGACCAUUACUCAAUGUCAGUGGGGCUUAAUUAGUGGCUAAUUAUGUUCCUAACGGUCGGGGCCCAUCGGUCAGUGGCUCAGGGCGGCGAAGUCAUCGCAAGAGCCCACUCGAUUCGGCAGAGUCUGCUCCAGAGGCCCGGGAACAGCAGAGGAGGGCACUGGGGUGAAGCCCUCGGUCGUGAGUAUUUGUCAGACAGGACGCGAGGUCACGGGGUGGUCGGAGCGUGUCCCAGCAAGCACAUCUAGAUGGCGCCCACACGGACUCGACGUGGUCGCCGCUACAUAUCACGGGGAUGCCAACCGAUUAUGUUUCCAAGCUCCUAGUAAUGUUGUGAGGACAUCUCGACACAUGGUUGGGGCUGACAGGGGCUCAAGCCACAACGGCGACACACUAGGGCAGGAGGAGCUCGGGCUCGAUCCAUGGUGAGUCUACGACACCUGGGAGAGCACGGGAAGAGAGGGAAAGGGACGGCGAGAUCACGGUGGUCACAAAGAGAUGCUAGGCGUGCUCGGGGAGACCCGGACACUGGCGAAUCGACGUUGGGCAACUGCAGUGAUCGGAGGUGGAAACGAUAACGGUGAUGGUGAUGAAGGGCCCCCGGCCUCGAUUCUUUUGACGAAGAGGAGCAGCUUGAGGACUCGGAGGAGAUGAGAAUCUCGGGGUGGUGGGGAAACUAUGGUGGGCGUGGUGGCAAUGUUGGUGUGCUCUCGGCUGUGGGCGCGUGCAAGAGAGAGAGGCUAGCCAGGAGACGGAGAGAGCGAGAUUGAGAGAAGGCAUGCAUGGGAGGGAUUCACGGCGUCCUUAUCGCCCUCCACGCGGUCGGCGGCAAGCACGACAUGUCCAUGGCCCGUGCCUGCGAGGCACGACCACUCGCGUGGGGAGGAAGGCGACAGGGGGAGCUCAGGUGGGCUCGGCCAGCAGUUAGCGCAGGUAAGCCAGGUGAGAUCUCUGCCUUUUCUAUUUUGUUUUUGUCUUUUCUAUUUUUAACAUUUGUUUUGGUAUGAAAAAAAUUAUAAAACCAUUUCAUAAAACCCGUGAGAAAAAUAUAUGUGGAAAGAUGGACUUGUCCAAAGCCACACAAUAAUUCUCAGUGUUUUUGGACAUAGAUUUAGUAUAUAUUAAAUAUAUAUCCAAUGAAAAUAAUUGUUGGGUUAAUCAAAUGUCCAAAAUAAAAAUAAAAUGUGAAUCCAAAAAUAUUUGUUUUGAAAUUUACCUCAUGCUAAUAUUUUCUUAGAACAGGAGGGACAUUUUCUUGGAUCUCUUUGAGACAAUUUUAUAUUCCUUAUUUGAGAGAAAUUUGAUUCUGAGGCUUGAUCAUUCCUCAUUUCAAUUUCAAUUGUAUUUAAAAAUACAUGCGUUAAUUAAAUGGCAAGCAAGGUUAAACUAGGAUUGUGACAACUAAUUGUCUACACAAUCUUCUAUUCUUGUAGACUAUGUUGGGCCUCCAAGCGCAGAGGUUUGUAGGACAGCGGCAAUUUCCCUCAAGUGGAUGACCUAUGGUUUAUCGAACUUAGGGAAGUAGAGGUUGAAGAUGGUCUCUCUCAAGAAACCAUGCAAUUAAGAAACCAGAAGUCUCGUGCCCAACACACCUAAUACAAUGUUAAAUUGUAUAGGUGCACUAGUUCAGCGAAGAGAUGGUAAAAUAUGGGUGAUAGGUGUGGCAAAGCAAGGUAAUAUAAAUCUAUAAUAAAAAUUACAGCAAGGUAGCAAGUGACAAAAGUGAGCAUAAAUGGUGUAACAAUGGUGAGAAACAAGGUCUAGGCUUCAUACUUUCACUAGUGGCAACUCCCAACAGCAUUAACAUAGUCUAAUCCCAUGAUAUUUCCACUAAAACAGGCAAUGGAGACAUACUCGGAGGUCAUUCCUUUGUGAUCAAGAGAGGACAAGAAUUAUGUAGCACACCUCAGAGUUCGUAGUUCUCAUCUAUGGAUUCCCCAAUGUCACUGCGACCAUCCAAAGAGAGUACCACAAUCACGUAUCUCAAGGAUAGUCAAAGACAAGCACCAAGAGACUCUCAAUCUUCAAUCAAUUCACAAAAGAGGAAAUUGCUCAUGAAAAUAUUCUUCUAAUUCAUGUCCAAUAGACCGUUGUCACCAUGGUGUCGGCGAUUAUACUAGAUAAGAUCAAGUGAGUACAUCAAUCUAAUACAUAGAAGAAGGGGAAACAUCAUGGGAUCACCCUAGGUUCACAUAGCCUAUGAUCACAAUCAAGAUCACAUCAUGGGAGAGAGAAUUAACCACAUAGCUACUUUAGAAGAUCUCAGCCCCGAGGAGGAACUAUUCUCGCUUCAUGGAGGGGGGAAGCAACGUUGAUGGAUUUGAAUCCGGGGGCACUUCCCCGUCCCGGCAGGGUGCUGGCACAUGAAUUCUGGUCCCCCAAAACUUGUUGGCGAUGAAGGCAAAGAUCGGAAUUGCUUCUGGAGAAAACGGUUCCGGAAUCAGCGUUCCCUCCACGGGGGUAAAAAUAGGAGCCCAGGUAGGGCACCAGAGGGGGUGGGCCCCACCUAGGCGGCCUCCCUAUGCGGCUAGGGGGAAGGUCGCGCCACCAGGGCGCUUGGAGGCCUGGUGCCCCCCACUCUAGCCCACCUUCAGCCGUCUCGAGUCUUCUGGAACGCUUAUUUUUUUUAUAUUUUUUGUGGAAUUUUUCGGGCACUGUAAAUAUGGGUAUAAACCUGCAAUUCACAGAUAUCAGCAGACAUAAACUAGCACUAGGUGCACUGAGUUAUUAGGUUAGUCAAAAUAUGUUGAAAAAGGUACAAAAGUGUACAAAACACAUAGCAAUGUCACCCAAAACUUGAUGGAGCAAGCAGAAAUUAUAGAUACGUUUCGGACGUAUCAACAUCCCCAAGUUUAAUUCAUGCUCGUCCUCGAGUAGGCAAAUGAUAACACAAAUAAUUUCUAUGGUGACAUGCUAAUACACAUAUAAGAACUUCAAAGUAAAGAAAGUAAGAUAUGCAAUUCAAGUCAAGACAAUAACAAGCAAGAGUCCAUAUCUAGUAUUGAAACUAGCAAAGUAAGAACAUAAAGGUGCAAGAGCUCUCGUUGUCCGUAACUCGAAUGUCUCCAAAUGGUUUUUGCGUGCAAGAAGUGGGAGAUGGGUUUAGAGUAUAAAAAUAAUAUAUAGUUUAAUUGAGAACUCAAUCUACUAAAACUUCACACUUGGUGUUCUUCUGAAUCUUAUUUUGACUCAUCCACGGACCACUAGUUAGGCACAAGUCAAAAAGAUCCUCUCGCUUUCGACUUUGAGAACUCAUGCAAUGGAUGAGCGCAAUAAAGUAUUGUUGUCACUUAGGAUGGCAAAGAGAAUAAUGAUGGGGAAGGAAGACAAAAAAGGUAUAAAAGUGUAACGCCCAAGGUGCGAUCCUAUCCUUAUUUUGGCGCGAGGGCCUCGACAGGGAUAGAAGCGCAUGUCGUCGUUUCGCAAGACUAGAUAUCGUUACAAGUACAUGUACUGAAGAGAAAAUUAUAUGGAAUUGGCUUACACUUGCCACAAGCUACAUCAGAGUCACAUCAGUACAAUACAUAAAUAUCAUGAAGAAGAGCAGGGUCCGACUACGAACAAAAAAAAAACGAUGUCCAUCCUUGCUAUCCGAGGCUGCCGGCCUGGAACCCAUCCUAGAUCGAUGAUGAAGAAGAAGAAAAUCCAAAUGAACAAUCAACGCGCUCACGUAAAAUAAUCCUUUACCUGUACCUGCAACUGGUGUUGUAGUAAUCUAUGAGCCAGAGGGGACUCAACAAUCUCAUUUCCAAAGGUAUCAAGACUAUCAAAGCUUAAAAGGUGACGUAUGGUUAAGUGGUGAGGCUGCAGCAAGUGAGUAAGUAUUAUAUGAGGUGGCUAACUUACGAGUCCAAGAAUAAAAAGGGGGAAGAUAUACGCAUAGCGGACGUGAACUAAUGAUGAUCAAAUGAAUGAUCCUGACAUUUUACAGGUGGUAGGCAGUGAGACAUAAUGAUAGAAACGAUAAACUAGCAUGGCAAUGAUAGUAAUGGUAUCUGGGGAAAUGGUCAUCUUGCCAUAGAUCCCGCUUGGAAGAAGAAUGACUCCAUUAAGCAGACGAAUCGAUGUAGUCGAACGGGUCCUCACAUUCCGACACGCUUGCGGAACUCUAACGAGACGAAGCAAACCGGAAACAAGAAUCAAUACACGAUAUUCAGCACACGAUGCACAACACAAAUGAUGCAUGAGCGGUUUAAUGCAAGGCAUGACAUGGCAAUUCACAACAAUCAAACACUACACAUUAAGUGAAGUGCAUAUUGAUGUUGCAUAUUGACGAAACUCCACAUACGAAUUAUUUAGUUCUAUCCUGAUUUGGUACACAACAAUAUUAAAUGUUAUUAAACAUGGCAAGAGGUUAAGCGUUAUAAAACUACCUAUCUAGGCAUUUUAAAUGAGGUCGGAAAUGGCAUAUAGCAUCUUCGAGAUGACCCCAUACGUUAAUUUAUAAUUCUGUCAAGAUCUAAACUAACACGUUUAAAUAUUUUUUAAACAGAAAAAUAAAUAGGUUCACAUGAUUCUACGUGUCGUUCCAAUCAAUUAACACAUAGAGAACAUCUCCAACGGAGCUACGGUUCAAAAGAUACGAACACCGCAAGAUAUGAUGGCAUGAAUGCAAUAUGUGUGCAACGGCAGUCACAAGCAUUCCAAACCAAGAAGGCAGCAACAUAUUAUGAAACUACACGAGAUUCUAAGCAAGUUUUAUGUAGGACACAUUCAAAACGGAGCAACGGUUCAACAACUACGAGCUAAACAAGAAAUCGUUACAAUCUGCCCAAAACAGCAACAUGGCAUUUUCUACACGCUAUAACAACGAGCUCCAUAAGUCCAAAAUGCUCAAACAAGACAUGAGGCAAUAGUGGCCAAGAUGCUCUACAACAUACUACUAAUAACAUCUAACAUGGAUGCAUGGAUCACUAGGAAAAGAACUCCAAAAAUGGCAUCUCACACACAGUUUCAGACUUAGUGGAAAUAUCAGUUUUGACAAUGCAGUUUUCAAUCUGAAGGCAUAUGGACAGCAGAAAAACUGUAUUCUACAGGACUCCGAAUGGCAUGAAAAUUACAGCAUGUUAGGGAAUCUUAAGGACUACAACUAACUCCAUUGCACCAACCUCAAAAGAGUUAUAGAUCACCAUAUAAACUCAUGGCAUGAUAGCAACGAAGUAUAAUAGAUUUCAGACUUAGAAAUAUUUCAGCAUCUUCAAAUCUGCACUAUUUUCUAGCAUGUUGGCAACAAGCGAACAACACCUAAACAUGGAUUUCUACUGCAACCAAAAUUACUAGGGGCUAGCAUACAUAUCCAAGGGCAUAUCUCUAGUUAACAACUCAUUCAUAUCAUGCACGGAUUAAAUCCUACAAAAUAAACAAAAGGGCAACAUGGCAAAAAUAUCACGUGCACUAACUUUCUCAAAAGCUAAAACUAAAUGCAUAGUUAAAUUCUAUGGAUUUUUCUACCCCAAAAACAUGUAUAAUAUGUGGGGUUGCAAAAUAAAACUAACGUCACACAUAUAUGCGAGAUAUGUCCUAAACACGACAUAGCAAAACUAUUGACGGCACCUACAUGAAAAAAUGCAAACAACUACUCUAAAAUACAUGGCAAACGGGCACAACCAACAUUAACAUUUAAAUUACGGGUUUUGAACAAUCCGGACACGCGCAAAAAUAAAUACGGGAUAUCUAACAUAUUAGGACAGCACGCAAAUCUAGGCAAACGGCGGGUCAAACUACUCCAAACAUGCAUGCAAGUUGUAAAAUCAUAAUCUACACGAAAUUCUAGUCAAGUUACAUAUCUAACUUGUCGCAAUCCGACGCACGGUUUAAAAGGUGCUGCUGUUUUUUAAAAACAUGUUAUUUCUGAAUCUAGCAAAUUCACAGGAAAUAAUGAACAUAGGCCGAAUUGCAACAGCUUGAAGUGGCCCAUUAGAGGAUUCAGCCCAAGUGGUUUUGCACACAGAAGACAAAAAUACCAACAGAAAGAACCGAGGCUUCCCUGGGAUUCGAUCCCAGUACCUCUCUGGUGCAGACGAAGGCACCAACCAGCCGAGCUACAAUCAGCUGUGAUAAGGCAUGGGUUUCAACCAAUAUGAAAGUGCAUAAGGAACCAACCUGAAGUAAAAACAAACCAAAAAUAGGGGUGAAUGGGAUUCGAACCCUAGAACUCUUGGUUGCAACCUAGCAGUGCUAGCCAGCUCGGCUAUGCACGAUCUCUGAGACAAAAUGUAACUGCAUACUAGACUACACAUGCAUCAAAACAGAUCUGAAAUCAAAAGAAGCCUUCGGCCAUGGUUGUGAGCUUCUCACCAGCGAGAUCGGGAAGGACAGGGGAAGAGGCUCCAACAGCGGGGGCUAGGUUAGAGCUUGGGGAUGGGGUACUGGGUCACGGAUCCAUCCAAAGGGCACCGGAUCCAGACAAAGUUGGGGGGGGGGUUCCACCGCACAGAGCUCUAUCGACGUCAUGAGCGCACCUACACCUCCUGCUCUCCCUGUUCUCUUACAGAAAAGAGACAAAGCUGCAAAUAUUAGAGGGAGCAGAGGAAAAAAGGAGGGAGGAGAAGAGAGGGCAAAGGGGAGGCGCGGCCAGGACCAGCUGCACUCCUACGUUGCGCUCGCCAGCAGAUUGGGGGGGGGGACGAAACUGCAGCUCGGGUACCUGAAUUGCUCUUGGAGAACUCUUGCACGAGAGCUCCUUCCCCGUGUUGACAGCUGCGCCUACUGUUGCGAGAGGAUGAGGGAGGUCGGGGACGGCGGUUGCGUGGGCUGCGGCCUGGAGGCGUCUGCGGGGAGCACGGGAGGCUGCUGCUCCUCGACGACGGGUUAGGGCAUGAGGGCACGCGAGGCUGCUGCGGCAACUCGUGCAGAUGAAGGCUGCUGAAGAUUGGAUCAGGGAUUUGUUGGAAAUAUGCCCUAGAGGCAAUAAUAAAAUGGUUAUUAUCAUAUUUCCUUGUUCAUGAUAAUCGUCUAUUGUUCAUGCUAUAAUUGUAUUAACAGGAAACAGUAAUACAUGUGUGAAUAAAUAGAUCACAAUGUGUCCUUAGCAAGCCUCUAGUUGGCUAGCUCGUUAGUCAAUAGAUGAUCAUGGUUUCCUGAUCAUGGGCAUUAGAUGUCAUUGAUAACGGGAUCACAUCAUUAGGAGAAUGAUGUGAUGGACAAGACCCAAUCCUAAGCAUAGCACUAGAUCGUAUUGUUCGUAUGCUAAAGCUUUUCUAAUGUCAAGUAUCUUUUCCUUCGACCGUGAGAUUGUGCAACUCCCGGAUACCGUAGGAGUGCUUUGGGUGUAUCAAACGUCACAACGUAACUGGGUGACUAUAAAGGUGCACUACGGGUACCUCCGAAAGUGUCUGUUGGAUUGGUACGAAUCGAGAUCGGGAUUUGUCACUCCGUGCGACGGAGAGGUAUCUCUGGGCCCACUCGGUAGAACAUCAUCAUGAGCUCAAUGUGACUAAGGAGUUAGUCACACGAUGACGUGCUACGGAACGAGUAAAGAGACUUACCGGUAACGAGAUUGAACAAGGUAUAGGUAUACCGACGAUCGAAUCUCGGGGAAGUUCUAUACCGACAGACAAAGGGAAUCGUAUACGGGAUUGAUUGAAUCCUUGACAUCGUGGUUCAUCUGAUGAGAUCAUCGUGGAGCAAGUGGGAGCCACCAUGGGUAUCCAGACCCCACUGAUGGUUAUUGGCCAGAGAGGUGUCUCGGUCAUGUCUGCCUGUCUCCCGAACCCGUAGGGUCUACACACUUAAGGUUCGAUGACGCUAGGGUUAUAGGGAAUUGUUAUACGAGGUUACCGAAAGAUGUUCGAAGUCUCGGAUGAGAUCCCGGACGUCACGAGGAGCUCCGGAAUGGUCCGGAGGUAAAGAUUGAUAUAUAGGACGGAUGGUUUCGGAUACCGGAAGUGUUUCGGGCAUCACCGGUAACGUACCGGGACCACCGGGACCACCGAAGGGGGGCAACGACCCCGGGAGGUAAGGUGGGCCAAGUGGGGGUGGGAACCAGCCCCUAGGUGGGCUGGUGCGCCUCCCCACUCAGCCCAAUGCGCAGGGGAGAGAAAAGGGGGGCAAACCCUAAGCGAGGUGGGCCUAAGGCCCACCAGAUGGUGCGCCACCCCCUCCUUCCCCCUCUGGCCGCCGCACCUCCCAUCUGGGGGGCUGCCGCACCCCCUAGGGUGGGAACCCUAGGGGUGGCACCUCCUCUCCCCUCCCCCUAUAUAUAUCGGGCACUUUUGGCCAUUGAGAGAAAGUUUUUUCCCUCUCCCUCGGCGCAGCCCUGCUCUUCUUUCUCCUCCUCUCUGCCGGUGCUUGGCGAAGCCCUGCCGGGAGACCUCGUCUCUCCAUCGACACCACGCCGUCGUGCUGCUGGAGUUCUUCCCCAACCUCUCCCUCCUCCUUGCUGGAUCAAGGUGUGGGAGACGUCACCGGGCUGCACGUGUGUUGAACGCGGAGGUGCCGUAGUUCGGCACUAGAUCGGAAUCGCUGCGAGUACGACUCCAUCAACCGCGUUCUAGCAACGCUUCCGCUUAGCGAUCUUCAAAGGUAUGGAGAUGCUCUUACCCCUCUCUCGUUGCUGGUCUCUCCAUAGGAAGAUCUGAAUAUGCGUAGGAAAUUUUUGAAUUUAUGCUACGUUACCCAACAGGAUUUCCACUGGCUGCAAGGGGAUUAGCCAGUCACGCAAAACAAGGCAGGUGGAGUUCGGCGGCGGUUAGGAGGAUCCCUAGAAAAUAGAGUUUGGUCUAACUUUAGUAGGGGUCUAUUUAUAUAAACAAAGCGGGUUGGGUUCGGACCCUUCGAUCUCGAUCGGAUGGUCGAGAAAGAUAGGUUAGGAGAGCCAAUGGACACACCGAUGAAGGUUUGCAGUAAAACGGGGUGGAUCCGGAUCAAACGAUCACGACCGCCGAUUUCAGGAACCGAGAUGUUUUCGGACCGGGCUACGCGUAGGUCAGUGCACUAUGCAGAGGGGCUACACUACUAGAAAUAAGGUCAAUUAUGACUCCUUAUAUUGGUCAUUGAUUCAUCAUUGUUGUUGUUUAUUGACCUUUUUUUGACCAAAUUUACAAGGUCAAAGUUGGCCGUCAAGAAUGAACUAACUUGACCUUUCUAAAAUUUUGGUCGUAGAUCUAUAUUGACCAAAAUUUUGGUUUGGUCAUUACCCAUUUGUGUGCGCCACGUCGGAUCUGACGUGGGUGUGCUGACAUGACAUUGCUAGUGACCAAAUGGAAUCAUCAUAAAUUUCACAGCCCAAUUCAAUAAUCUAGUCUAUAUGGGCCUCCACCAAUAUUAUUUUAUUAUUAAAAUGUCUAAAUUGUUUAGGCUGAUGCAUUAUUUUGCCAAAAGCAUGUAUAUCUCAGGAUAGGCCCAUUAGAAAACAAGUACAAGAUUGCAAAUUAGUUAUAUAUAUUUCAUUUCAGUAGCACAUCACAUGAAUUACAAUACAUCAUCCAUCGACUCCUCUACACAUAAAGGUUCAAGGCCCAACAAGUGCACAAUAAAAUCGUUCUAUAAGUGCAGAUGUACAGCAAAAGGGCCCACAAGUGCAUAAUCACACAUCAACAUAGUUCGACAAAAAAUGAAUGAGAAGCACAAGUUUUUGUUGAUAAAACAUAACAUCAAUGAUAAACGAAGCUUCUUGUUCCCUCCUCAUGUCCUGUCCUCUACUUCUUCUGGGUGCUUCAGAUCAUCCUGAUAAUUAAAAUAAUCAAACAUAAGAAAGCAUACAAAAUAAUCAAAUAUUAUAAUGUACAAGUAAUAAAUAAAUUAGAACUAUUUCAUCCUCCAACAAUGGUAGUGUAUUGACCUCUGACUAUGCGUAUGUUUGCAAGCUUACACAUCGAAUCUAAACUUAUAUCAAUUAAUGAAAGCUGAAAUGUUUCUGGGAUAAUAGGCAUCACAACAAAAGCAAAUUCGACAAAGUUUCCUUACAAAACCAACAAAGUUCAGUAUAAGCAAAUUGGACAAAGUUUCCUUACAAAACCAACAAAGUUCUGUAUAGCCAUAUCCUUAGCCCACAAGUAACAUUCAGGCUUCAGUGCGAUAUUAGAGAUCACAAGAGCAUUAGCUUAAUGCACAAAUGAGAUAUACAUAUUAGAUACAUCACGUGGAUUUUAAUUAUCAAGAUCGAUUAGAAGACCGUAGAAGAUUUCUAAUAAAAAACCAGCAAGUACAUAAAACCAGCACAACCACGUCCAUUAAAAAAUCAAUCAUAAUAGGUAAAACAAUUUUUCAAGUAUUAGGAUAUACUCUACUAUUUAAUUUGAUACAUGAUAGAUACAUUCUGAAUGAAGUAUAAGAUUGUACUUAAUAAUAAAGUUAAGGAAGGACUAUUUUCCAAUGCACUAAAAAGGAAUGCAGAUUAUGUAGAUGAGAAAAAUAACAUAUCUAGCAAAGAGUAGUGUGUAGAAUAAUAUUUCAAAACACUAGGUACCACUUCUGAUAAUAUAAGUUUAUAUAAUAUUUUCUCAAAGGAAAUUCAAGGAGAUGGCUUUGUAGCAUUAUAAUAGCAUGUUACUAAAAUGUGCCUAAUUUUGGUACUGGUCCAAGGGUGGACAUAAACUUUGUUGUUCUGGCUAGGAAGGUUCAAUCGAUAGAAAUAUAUUAGUAUUUCCAUGCACACAUCAUAUGUGUCCAAAAAAGUUGAUAUUAUUUGCCAAAAUUCCAUUGUAGUUGUAAAUUUCGUUGCAACGAAAUCUGUUGUUUCUGAUUCUUAAUCUAAGAGUUACUGCAAUACUUAAAUUUAAAUAUACACAUCUCUAAUAUUUGGGUCAAAUUGGACAUCAUUUCAAAUAUAUGCAGGGUGGCACUUUGUAUCAAUUCUAGAAUGAUAUAUAAAAUAUUUUAGUAUAGAACUUAGCAUGUGCAGCACGUUCUACCAUAAUAUAGAUUGUAUAGUUUUUAUUUGUACAUAUAUUUGAUUUCUCUUUAAAAAUGAAUGUGAAAAAUUACAUGAAUUGCACAAUAAUUUUAAGAUACACAAUUCUCUAGCCCAUGUUGAUGCACGGGUUGAUGACUAGUAUACCUAAUUGAGUUACAUUGGAUAUGAAAUGGAACUGCAUACUUCUAUAUCAUACUACACACAGCAAACUUGCAACCGGGACACUCACCCGGUUAUAGACGAGGCCGGCCGUCACUACUGCCCAAUGUUUGUUGAGGCAUCUUUGCAUGCCCUUUCUGCCAUGUAGUAAAACUACUGCUGCUUGUAUACGCGGACACCACCACUGGCAAGGAAGCACGACGAGGCCACAAUGGAUGGAAUCAUAGCGAAUCCAAAGGGAGUUGUGAGGAAGGAAAGGAUAUCAAAAAUCAAGCCACGACAAUAGGUACAAAGAAAGUAGUACCUUCGGAACACAAGGAAUCAUACACUAAAUAAUGCAAGGGUUGAUACAUUAGAUAAUGGAAACAAUUGUAGCCAUAUACUUUACUUCUAAAGAGCACAAAUACGAUGUCACAGACAUGGCAGCAUGCUUACAGGGACACCUUCACUCUCACCCAUCGGAUGAUUAGCUACCAGCAAUUAAACACAAAAAAUGAGAAAGAAAAGCAGCCCUCCAGGUUGUCCACCUUCACUCUCACCCAUCAGAUGAUUAGCUACAGCAGUGGCACCGCUCUCAGAUGCAAUUUUCCCUAACAUGAAGCACCAUGCAUUCAAUCAGCAGCGACAAGCCAACAAUAAUCAAGCAGCACACAUGAACACCAAGAUUCAAUCAAUGGCAGUAGCACAUGAACAACAUACAGAAGCAUAUGGCGAGCAGCAACUACAAGGGCAUGGCUAUUGGCUAACAGGGGAUGCAAGCAGUAGCAGUUCAAUAAUAAAUCUAAGCAAAUAGAAGUCUAGGUUACCUGCUCCAGCUUGCUUGCCAUUGGAAGGAGAUGCUGCUGCACUUGUGGGACGACAGCGGUCAGGUCCAAGCACCGGCCGUGACACCUUACGACAGUGGCGCUCAGGUCCAGAAGCUGGGAAAGGAUAAGGGAAACCCAAUUUCAUGGCUUCAAACUGGUCGAGGAGGUCUCCUUUUGUGCACCAGUGGAUGUGAGCUGCAAAAUCAGGCUUGGGCCGACCCUUAAAGAAUCUGCACACAAAAAUGAAUCCAUCUGCAGUUUGUUUAACCAGGUUUGUACUCGGACAAAAACAAAUGUUGUGCUACUCUGUGUGCUCCUCCCUAAGAAUGUACCAUGGAACAUUACGCAUGCAUCCAUUGCAGACCAGAAGCAUCGUUUAUGAGAGGAAAUAUAGCAGGUACUUCACCACACACAAAUCCAAAGUAAAAAACUGCAAGAUAGCAAAUAGCAAUUGCAUAUGAUAAUACUAUCACGAACAGUAGCUUCCUAGGUAUACCGAUCUGAUCCAGUGUGGAGUAGAUUCUCAAUUCGUGCAUCUUUCUAUAGGAGUAGGAUGAGGAGGAGAUAGAAGUACCUGUUGAUGCCGGGAAGCUGUACUCCGAGGUCGAGGAGGCCGGGAAGCGGCGCCGGUCGGGGAUGUCAGGUAUCCGCUACUAGGAAACGUCCUGGCAAGGACGAGGACGAUGUUGGUCACGUCCUCCUCAUGGUCAUCUUCGCCUUCGUGAUAGAUAAAGCGUGAACGAGUAGUAGGAGAUGGCGCGGAGGCACUGCAACGCGGCGGCGCACUCAACCACAUUCAAGUACAUAUGGGGUGUCGCCUGGAUCUGGCUGGUACCACCACGAUGCAGUCACACGCUUGACCACCGGCGGUGAAUCGAUGCGUUCCCUGAUGCGGUGGAGAAGUCACAGAAGAAGCAGGGGAAGUGGAGGAUGGCGGCGAGAUUAUGCGAGAGGCUUCUUGCCGGCGGAGGGUUGCUGGGUCACAGGAGGGAGCGGUGGCGGCUCACGUGGAGAGAGGGAGAGAGAUGGGUGUGUGGUUGUGGCGGCUGCGCUUACGAGAGGAGGAGGCAGCGCCCACUUGUAAACCCUACCAAAUUCCUCCUUAGCGUUUUUCUUCUUGCUUUUUUCCAAGCCGCCCAUUUGAAUUUUUUUAGUGGAAAGCAAAAAAAAAUUGCAAGGGUAGUGGAAAGUAAAUAAAUGUUUUUUGGGAAUAUUAGUAGAAAAUAAAUAUUACAUUUAUCCAUUCAUUUCAUGUUGAUCGGCUCCAUCUCAUGUUGACCACACGCACAUAUAGCUUUAUAUGUUACGGUAUGGCUAAACAUAAAUCUAGUGCAAAAUGUGAAUUAACACAUUUUGUUGCGUCUGUGCGACUCAAAAUAAAACAUACAAUUAGUAUAUUUUCAUUUAAAAAAGAAUACUACAAAUUUUUGUUGACAUAUAUAUGAAUGUUGUUUUGAAACUAUUAAUUUAAACUUCAUUUAUUUAACAUAUAUUUUAUGUGGCUAAGAGUGGACCAAGUUUGGGUGUCCCGUCCAUGGGUUGGCAAGUAAGUUAAUUGGUCCCACACGUCGUACAUGGGACCCACUAGUUGGCUCGGUCAACAAGUUAACACAUUUUUGCCAUAAGACCGUGUAAGUUAUACUCAUCAACCCAUUAGCAUGUACCCUUACAAAAAUUAGCAUGUAGGCAAAUUGGCAUCUAUACAUGACACAUGGACAGAAAAUUGACACGUAUACACGCCACGUAGGUGAGAAUCUGCCUACUCACCUUUGUUCAUGUAUUUGACCUUAAUUUGGUCACGUGGACUCAAAAUAAUAUCAUAUAUAGUGUUGCACACACUAAUGACCAUUCCGGGCAGUGAGAUUAUGACCUUACUAACUCGAAAGGUCGUAAGAUUCAAGUGUUUGAACCCUCCCAGACCAUACAUGACCAAUUUGUGAAUUUUGGUCAUAGAUCUAUGACCAUUUAGACUGUCGUCGAUAUUUUUUUCAUAAAUGAGCGUUUUUCUUGUAGUGCUAGGCGGGGAUGAGAGGGAAAAGGCAACCCGGCGAUAGAGUUUAAUUAUGUCACGGGCGCGUGCGUGUGUGGCCGGACUCAAAACGGGCAACGACGAAAAACGGAGAGAACUGGCAACUAAUAACGGAUGCAAGUUUUGAAAACUGACGACAACGGAGUGCCGAUGCAAUGCAAAUGAUGCGCAUGAUGCAAUGACGAUGCGACAAUUAAAAUAAUCACACGGCAGCAACGGAAUAAAAGGGGAAUCUUAUGGAGCGUCGGUCUCAGCCUGUCACAACUUGUAAUGCCCCAAGAGUGUAACUUGCCUUAUUUGGAACCUUCUAUAUGCGGGUCCAUCUUGUCAUUGCAAUGAGAGAUCAAUGCAUGUGUUAUUUCAUGUGUCACCUUGUUUUUGUUUUCCUUUGCAUGCAUCCAUUCCAUUCAUCCAUGCCUCUUUGUAUUUGUUGUUCUUGUGAUCCAUGUUGUGGUGUGUGUGGUGGUGUGCUAAGGCACAUGAACAUGAGGUCUACCCCUCAUGUGCACCGUUGGUUAUGUGAGAGUGUGCAAGUGGAGGUGUAGGUGAUAACCUAGUGAGAAGCACAUGUGAUGAUGCACUAUUCACCUCUAUGUGAUUCCAUGCUCAUUUUCUUCUUAGCCUUGUGCCCAAUUGUUCUAUGCAAGUGCCUAUGUAUUAUAUAUGUUUUUGGGGUAGAAUAAUCCCAAGAAUCCAAUGGUGGGUUCAGAUUCCACUUUGGAACACUUUCUGAGAAUGUCAUAUUUCUGUUUUGUUCAAUGUUUAGAGCUUGGUUUCAUGUGAUGUGAUGAGCCCAAGAGGUUGAUUCCUUGUUGUGGCAGUAGAGGGUGAACCAUUCUAUAGCAUGGUGGUUUUGUUUCAUGCUUAGGAAUUCAUAUGUGCAAGUUGUGCCUAGUCAAAAUAGGCAUGUGCUGAAAUUCCAGUUUAGUGAAAAUCUGUGAUUUUCACUAAGUGUGAGAAACUGCUCUUAUUUUCUUCCCUUGUAGUUGUGCUUGUAGAAGUUUAUGUGUUGGGAAUCUGGCCCUGCAAUCAACUGAGAAGUUGUAGCUUUUGUGUUUUUCUAGCUCUUUGUCAAUUUUCAUUCCAUUUGGCUUCCUGUAGAUAUUGUUUUGGGAUCUGUCAAAAUGCUUCAGAGCAUAAACAGCUAGUGAGAAUCUGAGAUUUUCACUAAGUCCCUGAAAACUGAUAUUUUUGUCCAAGUUAGCAGCUGUAGAACUUUCUGUGUGAAACUCCUUUUUAUUAUCUUUUUUCUCAUGCUUGUAGAGCUUUUGAAUAGCUUCUGCCACAUAUCUUAUUUGGCACAUUUGGGUGGAUGUAGGUGCUUUGCAUGUAGCUCUCAAACUGCUAUGAUGUUGUUUAGGACAGAAUGUAAAGUUUUGAUGUUUUGAUGCUUCUGAGUGCAGAGUUGAUGUUGUGGUGAUAUUACUUGCACCACCCCAUCCAUACUUGUUUAUUUUGUGAUAUGGCAACAUGGGAAUACCAUAAGUAUGCCAUUGGAGUGUGUUGUGAUGGAUUUGAUCCAUAGGACUCCAUUUCUUGUUUCGUUGUUUCUGGUUGAUCCGUAGCUCCGUUUGUAACGUUCUUUAUAUGUUUUUGCAUCUUUUUCACGUGACGCAUCUGUUCAUGUCAUUCUCAUGCAUGUCAAGAUAGCUUAGACUGCAGUUCUGUCCAGAAGUUGUAUUUUCUUCUCAUGCAUGUGCAAGUAGCUAGAAUAGAGAUGCAUGUUCAUUUUCAUCUCAUGCAUCAUGUGUGUGUUGCAUCUUGUUGUGUUGUUGUUCAUUUGGAUGCUAUUCUUAUGUUGGGUGGCACCGGGAUCAGAGAGCGAGUACGUGGAUCCGGGAGAGUACAUGCAGGACGAACAAGAGCAGUUCCAAGCUGAGGACAUCACAGGCAAGAUGAUAUGACCUUGAUUCCAUCUCUAGACUUGUUAUGCUAGAUUCACGUUUCCUUCAUCUUAUGCUCGCUGCCUACGACUGAAAUAAUUGCCUCCUGAUAUUGCCAUAAAACCUAAACACUUUUCCCCUCCUAGCAAAUAUUGAAUGGCUAAGUAGGCAUGCUCAGCUACUAAUGUUAGUGUUGCUAGUUGCAGGUGCAAUUGUGUCAUGUGAUAACAUGAGUUUGAUAUCAUUAUGUUAAAUCUGUUAUUUAAUUAAUGCACCUAUAUACUUGGUAAAUAAAGGAAGGCCUAGCCUUUUGCCGGGUGUUUUGUUCCGUUAUUGCCGCCAUAGUUUCCGGCUACCAGUGUUUGAUUCCAUAACUGAUCGCUCCUAACACGUUCGGGGUUGUUAUGGGACCCCCUUGAUAAAUCGUGUAGUGUUAAGACUUGUCCGGCAGGACCCAGCAUUGGUGUUAAUUUGCUAAUCACUUAAUAAUAAUCUGCAUAGGGAAUAGCUACCCCGAGGAAUUAAUCAACAAUCCGGGCCAGUGCUCCUCAUGUGUUGGUCCGAAUUGAGCAGACUAUGGGGCCACCACAGGGCAACCUGAGGUUUGGUAUACCCGUAGUGUAACUCAUCCGUCGUGUCCUGAGACUGAGAUACGCGACUCUUAUCGGGGUCGUCGACACGAUGGGAGGUCCCGGUAGUCUUGUCUUACCUUAGCGAUAUAUCUUGCGUAUAGGAAUCUCGGUGAAGCUUUGGUUCUCCCGAGAGUUCAGGUUUUCCUCUAAGGAAUCCGACGAGAUCACGAGAUUCGUGAUAGAGGAUUACUUUGCGGCCUGUGACCGUUUGUGAUGGACUAGUUGGAGCACCCCUGCAAGCCGUGCCCGCGGUUAUGUGGCAACUUGGAAUAUUUGUUAACAUCCGGUUAUAGAAAACUUGAACCUAAUCUAAUAAAAUUGCCAACUGUGUGCGUAACCGUGACUGUCCCCUUCGAAGACCUCUCUUCGUUCGGGAACACAGUGGGGUUAUGAUUGACGUAAGUAGGCGUUCAGGAUCACUUAUUGAUCAGCUAGUAUUCGCCCGCUAGUAUAGGCCACAUCAAUGACUUGUUCUAUGUAAGUUAGCCAUCGUAAAUGCUUAGGAUGCGGCAACCUAAACACUGAACCUUCCUUACCUAAUAACUUGUAUUAUUGCUGAGUCCCCGUGGCUCAAAGAUUACUUCAACACACCAACAGGUACAGGUACGCCCGACACAGGUGAUCUCGAUGGCACGCAGCUGGAGUGGCAGUAUGAUGAGGAGAACGACCAUUUGUAUGUGAACUAUCCAGAAUAUUGAGGCGUGGUUGUGAUCGUGGGCAAGCUUGCAGGGUAGCAUAGCCUUUCUCAUGUUUUGUAGUCCGUAGCAGGAACUACCUUGUCUAGAUAAAUGUGUGAUGUAAACUUUGAUAUUAUCUAUUAGAUGGCAGAUGAAUCCCUAUUUGUCAUUCUAUAGUUAUGUAUGUGCUAUGUUAUCGUGCUUGCGAAACGCUUAGAUGCGCUUCUUUCCAUUUUGGGGCCUCGUUCCCUAAAUCGGAAAGGACCGCAUCUUAGACUUUACAAGUUGGUAUCAGAGCAUUACGACCAUAGGAGCCUUUGUGUGAUCAUACUUGGCCGAGUCGAGUCUAGUAAAAUAUUUUGAGUCUUAGUUAUAUUGGAGAUUAGGAUUCUUUUUCUCCUCUUCUAUGCUCUGGUGAGGUUCCCGACUUAGGAAAUCUUUAUUCUACUCCUCUUCUCGCUCAAAGUUUUUUGAGGAUCACGCGGGUAAUUUUUGAAAUUUGUAUGAUAUCGAUGUGAUGGAGUUCUAUCUUGGUGCCUCUUGUCUGCCUUGAUUUCUUCUGAGGAGUUGAGCUCCACGGGAUUCUUGCGCACAUCGCCAUCAUUCACAUGUCUGAGUAUCCCAGAACGAAGGAUGUUUGUAAUUGCUUCAAUACUAGUAGUGGCGAGAUAACCCCCAUGUCCCCAGUACUGGUGCAGAUUGUUUGGGAGUACUGCCAUACUUUGUAUCGUUGUGAUCACGAGAGUCUAUUGUAGAUGAAGGUCCGAGAUUCUGGUUAUGUGUUGACGGAUGUGAUACAGUGGACGGGUUAGUAUAGGAGUUGUGUGAAUAUUACUCCUUGUAUCCGUGUACCAGAUUGUAUGACCAGAUAUUUCGAGAAUUCNNNNNNNNNNNNNNNNNNNNNNNNNNNNNNNNNNNNNNNNNNNNNNNNNNNNNNNNNNNNNNNNNNNNNNNNNNNNNNNNNNNNNNNNNNNNNNNNNNNNGACGAGUAGCUGGUGUCCCAGCUACGAUCUGUCCCUACGUUGGAUCUGUAGUAUAGUCAGGCCAUGUGCCCCUUUAGUUGCACCUGUCUGUACUCAGACAGUUUAAACUCUUCCGCUGGCUUGUAACUGAAUGACUGCUAUUAUGGGUCGUGAGACCCUUAAUGUGUAAUNNNNNNNNNNNNNNNNNNNNNNNNNNNNNNNNNNNNNNNNNNNNNNNNNNNNNNNNNNNNNNNNNNNNNNNNNNNNNNNNNNNNNNNNNNNNNNNNNNNNNNNNNNNNNNNNNNNNNNNNNNNNNNNNNNNNNNNNNNNNNNNNNNNNNNNNNNNNNNNNNNNNNNNNNNNNNNNNNNNNNNNNNNNNNNNNNNNNNNNNNNNNNNNNNNNNNNNNNNNNNNNNNNNNNNNNNNNNNNNNNNNNNNNNNNNNNNNNNNNNNNNNNNNNNNNNNNNNNNNNNNNNNNNNNNNNNNNNNNNNNNNNNNNNNNNNNNNNNNNNNNNNNNNNNNNNNNNNNNNNNNNNNNNNNNNNNNNNNNNNNNNNNNNNNNNNNNNNNNNNNNNNNNNNNNNNNNNNNNNNNNNNNNNNNNNNNNNNNNNNNNNNNNNNNAUCGGUAUGCCAUGCGUACGUGUGUCGUACUUGAUAUGUAUGGGGUUCGAUUACCUAGUCGUGAACUUUAGUAGCACUCCUUACAAGGAAAUGCCCCUUUGUGAUCCAACGAGCCUUGGUAGUUCGCUACUGCUCNNNNNNNNNNNNNNNNNNNNNNNNNNNNNNNNNNNNNNNNNNNNNNNNNNNNNNNNNNNNNNNNNNNNNNNNNNNNNNNNNNNNNNNNNNNNNNNNNNNNNNNNNNNNNNNNNNNNNNNNNNNNNNNNNNNNNNNNNNNNNNNNNNNNNNNNNNNNNNNNNNNNNNNNNNNNNNNNNNNNNNNNNNNNNNNNNNNNNNNNNNNNNNNNNNNNNNNNNNNNNNNNNNNNNNNNNNNNNNNAGACCCUUAAUGUGUAAUAUUAUGUCUGUGGCUCUUCCGAGCCUCUUAAAUAAAGCUUGUAUGUUUAUGGUUAUGUUGUGACGCCAUCGAUGUAUCUAUACAUAUCGGUAUGCCAUGCGUANNNNNNNNNNNNNNNNNNNNNNNNNNNNNNNNNNNNNNNNNNNNNNNNNNNNNUCUACACUCGCUGGUGACCGACACCUGCUUUGUUGGGUCAUGUAUGCCUGUCCUUGUGCGGUACUGCCACUUUGGUUUGUGACUAGACUUGUCGAUCCGGGUUCUUUGACAUUGGAAUGCUAGCGACACUAUUGCAUACGUGAGUCAAAANNNNNNNNNNNNNNNNNNNNNNNNNNNNNNNNNNNNNNNNNNNNNNNNNNNNNNNNNNNNNNNNNNNNNNNNNNNNNNNNNNNNNNNNNNNNNNNNNNNNGUAAAAGUAUUUUCCAGUAUAAAAAUAAUUCCAGAAAUGUUUAAAACUUCAAAAAUUCAUAGAAAUUAAUCUGUAACUCCAAUGAAAAUAAUUUAUAUAUGAAAAAGUAUCAGAAAAAUUCAAGGAAUCUGAAUAUGCUAUUUUCAUUCAUGUUUGAAAAAGUUACAGAACCCAAACAUGUAGAUUAAUGAAUAAGUCAAUUCUUAUAAAUAUUUUAUAAAUGGAAUUUGGAAAAUAUUCAAAUUUCAUUAUGAAUGAAACGUUCAAACAAUGUUCUAAUAACAAACCAGUACCUUAACAUGACAUCUCAUGCAUGGUAACAUCAAGUUGAUCUGAGCAUCAGGUCGAAUCAAUUAAAUCGGUAUCCGAGAAUACCUCGUUUGAAUUGAUAUUUGAAUGUGAUUCAAAUCAACGUCAAACCUAAUACAUGUUUAUUUUAUUAGUUUACCACCUUGCAUUCUCAUGCCAUGCUCAUGCAUCAUCUUGUUGCCUAUGAUUGUUAUUGAUUGUUGCCCUUCAUCUAGGUAGGCUCCGCACCCCCGGAUUCCACCGAAUAUCGAGAAUAUUGUCCCUCCUCUGAGCAACAAGGCAAGCAACCAUUUUGAUCAUCCCGAUAAAUCCCAUGUUCUUGCUCCUGCACUUAUUUGUUGCAUUAGGAUCAAAUGCUUCAAAUGCUUUUGCCACGUUAGUUGAACCCACUUCCUUUGCAUGACCUAACCUUGUCACAGUAAAUAGCCGAACCUUGCAACCUAGCAUACCUGGUAGUUGCUUGAGCCAUGUUGUGCCUUAUCCUGCUAUGCAUGCUAUGCUUAGAGUUGUGUAUGGUCUGUCAUCUGGGAGAUGAACAGAAUUGUGAGAAUGUGUUCGGUAAGCAAAGGUUGUGUGUUGAACCUGAUUUGGUAAAGGUACCGGUGAAAGGCUGUGUAGGAGUACAUGGCGGGUUGUUUCAUUGGAACCGUCCUUAGGAACUGAGUUCCGUGUAUGUAAUCCAAGACUAGAUACUACCACAUGNNNNNNNNNNNNNNNNNNNNNNNNNNNNNNNNNNNNNNNNNNNNNNNNNNNNNNNNNNNNNNNNNNNNNNNNNNNNNNNNNNNNNNNNNNNNNNNNNNNNAUAGUGUCGCUAGCAUUCCAAUGUCAAAGANNNNNNNNNNCAACUUUACCUUAGUCGGGACCGUUUGCGUCUUUUGACUCACGUAUGCAAUAGUGUCGCUAGCAUUCCAAUGUCAAAGAACCCGGAUCGACAAGUCUAGUCACAAACCAAAGUGGCAGUACCGCACAAGGACAGGCAUACAUGACCCAACAAAGCAGGUGUCGGUCACCAGCGAGUGUAGACGAGUCGUAGCAAGCUACAAGGACUCCAUUACAUCGCGUGACAUUUCCCCAAAGGGGACAGACACAGCAGCUAAGAAGGACACAUGCCGGUCGACCAAUGUGUCCAGAGCAGUAGCGAACUACCAAGGCUCGUUGGAUCACAAAGGGGCAUUUCCUUGUAAGGAGUGCUACUAAAGUUCACGACUAGGUAAUCGAACCCCAUACAUAUCAAGUACGACACACGUACGCAUGGCAUACCGAUUUGUAUAGAGACAUCGAUGGCAUCACAACAUAACCAUAAACAUACAAGAUUUAUUAAGAGGCUCGGAAGAGCCACACACAUAACAUUACACAUUAAGGGUCUCACGACCCAUAAUAGCAGUCAUUCAGUUACNNNNNNNNNNAUGUAUAGAUACAUCGAUGGCGUCACAACAUAACCAUAAACAUACAAGCUUUAUUUAAGAGGCUCGGAAGAGCCACAGACAUAAUAUUACACAUUAAGGGUCUCACGACCCAUAAUAGCAGUCAUUCAGUUACAAGCCAGCGGAAGAGUUUAAACUGUCUGAGUACAGACAGGUGCAACUAAAGGGGCACAUGGCCUGACUAUACUACAGAUCCAACGUAGGGACAGAUCGUAGCUGGGACACCAGCUACUCGUCGUCGUCGAUGUCUACGAAGAACCCUCCAUUAGGGUCAUUAGCAACCUCUGCAACAUUUAUUAAGCAAACAUGAGUACGAAGGUACUCAGCAAGACUUUAGGAUAUCUAACUACUCAUGCAAGGUAUCAAAAGAGUAUUGUGGGGUUUCAUGCGGAAAGCCAGCAUCUCACUCGUGGCUAAACAACUUGCAUUUUUAAAUAAUUUUGACAACUUGAUUUCUCGCACACGACUCCACUAACACCAUAACAAUACACUAUCGUGGAAUCAUUCCGUCUCCAUACACGCUUAUCUUGACAAUUUUAUGAGUCCAAGUAGUCCAUAUCCGCGGACGCGGUUAUUCGAAUAGAUCAUAACCCUGCAGGGGUGUACUUCGUCACACACGCUCUCGCCACUUAUCGCCAUGUGCGCGUCAUGCACCUCGGCAACCUUCAAGCGGAAGCCCAGCGAGGGAGUCGNNNNNNNNNNCUCGUCGAUGUCUACGAAGAACCCUCCAUUAGGGUCAUUAGCAACCUCUACAACAUUUAUUAAGCAAACAUGAGUACGAAGGUACUCGGCAAGACUUUAGGAUAUCUAACUACUCAUGCAAGGUAUCAAAAGAGUAUUGUGGGGUUUCAUGCGGAAAGCCAGCAUCUGACUCGUGGCUAAACAACUUGCAUUUUAAAAUAAUUUUGACAACUUGAUUUCUCGCACACGAGUCCACUAACACCACAACAAUACACUAUCGUGGAAUCAUUCCAUCUCCAUAUGGAAUUGCCGUCCACGACACUCACGCUUAUCUUGACAAUUUUAUGAGUAGCCAUUGAAGUUAUCUAUGAACAACAUAUGUCUCCAAGUAGUGCAUAUCCACGGACACGGCUGUUCGAAUAGAUCAUAACCCUGCAGGGGUGUAAUUUGUCACACACGCUCUCGCCACUUAUCGCCAUGUGCGCGUCUUGCACCUCGGCAACCUUCAAGCGGAAGCCCAGCGAGGGAGUCGGCCACGACCGUUAACCACACUAGUACCUAGUCCAGGUUUAUCGCCUAUCUGAGAGUAACCCGUACGGAAGUCCGGCCGAGGUUUUCGCGACGGCCUCAAACGAUGCGCGCAGGGUCCCCAAGCCCACCAUCCGGGUGCCACUUGGUAGACCGUGCCACUGCCUACCGCAUCACGGCCCACCUGUCAGGUCAGCACCAUGCACGGCCUCCAGCAUUACUAUAAACACCAAAAACUACUUGCAACUCCUNNNNNNNNNNCCUGAGAGUAACCCGUACGGAAGUCCGGCCGAGGUUUCCGCCACAGCCUCAAAUGAUGUGCGCAGGGUCCCCAAGCCCACCAUCCGGGUGCCACUUGGUACACCAUGCCACUGCCUACCACAUCACGGCCCACCUCUCAGGUCAGCACCAUCACGGCCUCCAGCAUUACUAUAAACACCAAAAACUACUUGCAACUCCUAGACAGAGUACUAAGCGAUUAAUAGGCCGAGCGGGGUCAUAUUUGAGGGCCCAACAUGUGGUAGUAUCUAGUCUUGGAUUACAUACACGGAACUCAGUUCCUAAGGACGGUUCCAAUGAAACAACCCGCCAUGUACUCCUACACAGCCUUUCACCGGUACCUUUACCAAAUCAGGUUCAACACACAACCUUUGCUUACCGAACACAUUCUCACAAUUCUGUUCAUCUCCCAGAUGACAGACCAUACACAACUCUAAGCAUAGCAUGCAUAGCAGGAUAACAACACAACAUGGCUCAAGCAACUACCAGGUAUGCUAGGUUGCAAGGUUCGGCUAUUUACUGUGAAAAGGUUAGGUCAUGCAAAGGAAGUGGGUUCAACUAACGUGGCAAAAGCAUUUGAAGCAUUUGAUCCUAAUGCAACAAAUAAGUGCAGGAGCAAGAACAUGGGAUUUAUCGGGAUGAUCAAAAUGGUUGCUUGCCUUGUUGCUCAGAGGAGGGACAAUAUUCUCGAUAUUCGGUGGAAUCCGGGGGUGCGGAGCCUACCUAGAUGAAGGGCAACAAUCAAUAACAAUCAUAGGCAACAAGAUGAUGCAUGAGCAUGGCAUGAGAAUGCAAGGUGGUAAACNNNNNNNNNNUAGAGGAGGGACAAUAUCCGUCAGACGGAUAUUCGGUGCAAUCCGGGGGUGCGGAGCCUACCGAGAUGAAGGGCAACAAUCAAUAACAAUCAUAUGCAACAAGAUGAUGCAUGAGCAUGGCAUGAGAAUGCAAGGUGGUAAACUAAUAAAAUCAACAUGUAUUAGGUUUGAAGUUGAUUUGAAUCACAUUCAAAUAUCAAUUCAAGCGAGGUAUUCUCGGAUACCGAUUUAAUUGAUUCGACCUGAUGCUCAGAUCAACUUGAUGUUAGCAUGCAUGACAUGUCAUGUUAAGGUACUGGUUUGUUAUUAGAACAAUGUUUGAUCAUGUCAUUCAUAAUGAAAUUUGAAUAUUUUCCAAAUUCCAUUUAUAAAAUAUUUAUAAGAAUUGACUUAUUCAUUAAUCUACAUGUUUGGGUUCUAUAACUUUUUCAAACAUGAAUGAAAAUAGCAUAUUCAGAUUCCUUGAAUUUUUCUGAUACUUUUUCAUAUAUAAAUUAUUUUCAUUGGAGUUACAGAUUAAUUUCUAUGAAUUUUUGAAGUUUUAAACAUUUCUGGAAUUAUUUUUAUACUGGAAAAUACUUUUACCGCAUCAGCAUGACAUCAGCAGGUCCAUCUGGCCGUUGAAAGUCAAACCUGACCAGUGGGACCCACUGGUAAGUGUCUCUGGUCAGUUUUAGAUUAAGAUUAAACUUAAUUAGCUGAUUAAUCUUACUGGACCCACAUGUCAGUGUCUUAUUAAUUUAUCUGAUUUAUUUUUAUUAUUUCUAAAUAUCCACAGGCUAGCCCCACCCGUCAGUGACUCAGGCCAGUUGAGAUCCACCGGCGGCGAGGUCGUCCUCGCCGGCGGGGAGCCUCCGACGAGCACCAGAACGUCGGGGGGCAUCGGAAAUGGCGCACGGAGGGCCAAACUCGGCGCGGAGAGCACCAAAGGAACGGCCACUCGAUGGCGCGCACGAUGGGACAAGCCCCAGGGGCUGGGGUGGACGGAAUCAACGCCGGCGACGAGCUUGGCGGCGACCNNNNNNNNNNNNNNNNNNNNNNNNNNNNNNNNNNNNNNNNNNNNNNNNNNNNNNNNNNNNNNNNNNNNNNNNNNNNNNNNNNNNNNNNNNNNNNNNNNNNAUAGAUAGUCCAGGAUGGUCUUACUUUAAGGUUGCCAGCAACAUUGAAGGUCACUGCGGUGGUCGAAUGGAUCACAUAGAAGAUGGAGAAGUUCAAGCAAAAUGCAAGCACCCCUGAGCCUAGGAUGAUAAUCAGCGAAGGAAAGACAGAGUCGUGUGUGUAGAACCAAUCAAUUACGCCACCUCCUUCAAGCAACAUUGCUGGAAGAGCCAGUAUCAUGGUGGCAAAAGGUGCCAUGUAGUAUACUGUGUUAAUGUUGUAGAAACAAAGAAUACUUAAUAAAUCAUCUGACCGAGGCAAGAAGUUACAGGACUGAACCUGACAGUAGCACUACAGUAAAAACUAAAUCUUUUGAUCUAGUAUCAUUUUAGUAGGAAAGAAGAUAAAAUGUUUAAAAAUUGAGAAUGCCAUACUCCAAACCAACCACUGCAGANNNNNNNNNNNNNNNNNNNNNNNNNNNNNNNNNNNNNNNNNNNNNNNNNNNNNNNNNNNNNNNNNNNNNNNNNNNNNNNNNNNNNNNNNNNNNNNNNNNNNNNNNNNNNNNNNNNNNNNNNNNNNNNNNNGGCAGCAACACCACAACUCUACUUCUUCUUUGUGAACAGGAAUAGACAGUGCGGUACCUGUGGUUGCAGGGGUGAAGGAUUUCAUAGUCUGCAUGAAGGAGACCGGGAUGUACCGCAGGCUGACGUUCCCGAGCACAAUGUUCAUGCAGAACACGAAGGACAUGGGGAAGAUCCUCUNNNNNNNNNNNNNNNNNNNNNNNNNNNNNNNNNNNNNNNNNNNNNNNNNNNNNNNNNNNNNNNNNNNNNNNNNNNNNNNNNNNNNNNNNNNNNNNNNNNNCCUCUCUGAUCCCGGUGCUACCCAACAUAAGAAUAGCAUCCAAAUGAACAACAGCACAACAAGAUGCAACACACACAUGAUGCAUGAGAUGAAAAUGAACAUGCAUCUCUAUUCUAGCUACUUGCACAUGCAUGAGAAGAAAAUACAAUUUCUGGACAGAACUGCACUCUAAGCUAUCUUGACAUGCACGAGGAUGACAUCAACAGAUGCGUCACAUGAAAACGAUGCAAACACAUAUAAAGAACGUAACAAACGGAGCUACGGAUCAACCGGAAACAACGAAACAAGAAAUGAAGUCCUAUGGAUCAAAUCCAUCACAACNNNNNNNNNNAUGCAUGUACUCUCCCGGAUCCACGUACUCGCUCUCUGAUCCUGAUGCUACCCAACAUAAGAAUAGCAUCCAAAUGAACAACAACACAACAAGAUGCAACACGCACACGAUGCAUGAGAUGAAAAUGAACAUGCAUCUCUAUUCUAGCUACUUGCACAUGCAUGAGAAGAAAAUACAACUUCUGGACAGAACUGAAGUCUAAGCUAUCUUGACAUGCAUUAGGUGACAUGAAGAGAUGCAUCACGUGAAAACGAUGCAAAAACAUAAAAAGAACGUUACGAACGGAGCUACAGAUCAAUCGAAAACAACGAAACAAGAAAUGAAGUCCUAUGGAUCAAAUCCAUCACAACACACUCCAAUAGUAUACUUAUGGUAUUCCGAGGUUGCCAUAGCACAAAACAAACAAGUAUGGAUGGGGUGGUGCAAGUAAUAUCACCACACCAUCAACUAUGCACUCACAAGCAUCAAAACAUCAAAACUUUACAUUCUGUCCUAAACAACAUCAUANNNNNNNNNNGGUUUCCAUAUCAGAAAACAAACAAGUAUGGAUGGGGUGGUGCAAGUAAUAUCACCACACCANNNNNNNNNNNNNNNNNNNNNNNNNNNNNNNNNNNNNNNNNNNNNNNNNNNNNNNNNNNNNNNNNNNNNNNNNNNNNNNNNNNNNNNNNNNNNNNNNNNNACCCAACGAGUUUGCUGGAGAUUCAGGUUAGGCUGGGUGAAGAUGUACUUGAGACUCUUGUGAUCGGUGAGCUUCAACCUUUCGUUCCAACAAGAGGUGUCUCCAAGUCAUCAGAGCAUGAACCACUGCUGCUAGCUCAAGAUCAUGCACAUAAUAAUUCUUCUCCGCUGGCUUCAACUGCGUGGAGGUAUAAGCAACCACUUUCUUCUCUUGCAUUAGAACUGUACCAAGACCUUGAAGAGAGGCGUCGCAGAACACUUGGUAAGGUUUAGAAUCAUCAGGAGGAACCAAGACUGGAGUAGAGGUGAGCUUCUCUUUGAGUGUGUCGAAGGCCAACUGACACUCUGGAGACNNNNNNNNNNAAUUGCUGCCAGCUCAAGAUCAUGCACACGAUAAUUCUUCUCCGCUGGCUUCAACUGCCUGGAGGUAUAAGCAACCACUUUCUUCUCUUGCAUUAGAACUGCACCAAGACCUUGAAGAGAGGCGUCGCAGAACACUUGGUAAGGUUUAGANNNNNNNNNNNNNNNNNNNNNNNNNNNNNNNNNNNNNNNNNNNNNNNNNNNNNNNNNNNNNNNNNNNNNNNNNNNNNNNNNNNNNNNNNNNNNNNNNNNNAUACCUGGUUCAAGCUCCAUAACAAAUUCAACUUCUCGGUGCGGAGGCAUUCCUGGCAGCUCUUCUGGAAACACAUCUUCAUAUUCGCAGACCACUCGGACUUGCGAAAUAGGGUUAAUCUCACCCUUUUCAUACAAAGAGAACAGACGGAUUGUGUCAUCGCGCGCCGCGAAUAUAAUCAUGUCCUCCGAUGAGUGAGUAAGCUUCACUUCUUUAGCUUCACAAUCAAUCGAUGCCUUGUUCAUGGCCAGCUAGUCCAUACCAAGGAUCAAGUCAAUGUCAGAAUUGCCUAAGACAAUAGGAGAUGCGAGAAAAGAAUAACUACCCAUCUUGACAGAAACAUCCGGAACAACCCAACGAGAACUCAUAAGCAUACACGGAGAAACAAUGUCCAAAGACUUAGCCAACUCUUGAAGAUGGAAAUCAUGCUUUGUCGCAAAAGGAUAUGACAAGAAAGAAUGCGAUGCACCAAAAUCAAACAACAAUUUAGCAGGAAUAUCAUUGACGAGGAGGUUACCCAUGAUCACAUCUGACGAGUUUUUUGCCUCAGCCGCAUUCACCAUGUUGACUCGAGCAGACCUAGGGUUGAACUUCACGAUAGCAUUGCUUGGAGGUUUUCCUGGAGGAGGAGGCGGAAGAUGGAGCUGAUAGUGCACUUGUUGGCAUAGUGACCCUUCUGCCCACACUUGUGACAAGUAACAUCUGCUGGCUGACGGUACUGUGUCUGAGGAGGCCCUUGCUUCUUCUGCUGGAAUCUUUGCUGGAAAGCUGGGUUGGGUGGGUGGGAAAAACCACGGCCACCAGAAUGCUUGAACUGCUGCUUGUGCCAAGGAGGAGGAGGAGACACCCAAUACUUCUGUUGCUUCUGAACAACAUGAGUAGAGGAAGACAAGCUGGAAUCUCUGAAGCGCUUCUUAGAAUUCUCCACCCUCAGCAAGGCUGCCUAAGCCCUGAGAGCUAAGUUGUAGAACUUAUCGAACUCCUCGGGAUCGUGCAAAGCGAGAGCUAACUGCAAAUCUUCUUUCAAGCCACCUCUGAACUAAUAUAUCUUGGUCUUCUAAUCAGGGAUAUCCUGCAAGGCGUAUCGGGCUAGCUCGUGGAACUCGACGUUGUACUUGUACACGGAGUUACCACCUUGCUUCAAGCGCCUGAACUUCUCAUGCAUUUCCUCCACAAAGCUAGACAGAAUGUAGUGGGAUCUGAAGUCACGGCAGAACUCAUCCCAAGUGAUCACUCUAGCACCCCUGGAAUCCUUCAACUGUUGCCACCAGAUAGAUGCUUGCCCCUUCAGCUAGAAUGUUGCAAACUNNNNNNNNNNUGAACAUUUCUGCAUUCAAAGUGCUUGUUCAUGUUGUGGACCCAAUCCUCAGCAUCAAACGGCUGGUCACAGGAAGUGAAAGUCUUCGACUGAUUUGACAGGAACUGACUCAGAUUAGCAAACUGAUUGCCACCAUGCUGGAAAUUGCCUUGCUGCUGAUUUGUCCUCUCUUGCAACAACUGUAUCAGCAUCUGAGUGUUUGCAUUUGUAGCAGCCAUCACCGCUUGCCAAGCCUCUGUAGGAGGAGGCGUCGGCGGUGGAGGAUUCUCUAGAGGAGGAGGUGGUGGUGGCACAUCCUCACGACCUGGAUUCUGACGAGUUGGUGGAGCCAUCCUGAAGACGGACAACGCAUUAGCCCAAAAAAUAAAUUGAAGGUAUAACUGAAUCAAAAGGCAGGAGUAUCUGAACAGGAAUAUAGCAAUUGCACUCGAACAAAAUAGUAAGAAUGCUUCCUCAAAGUGACUGUCGACAAAAUUAUGAUUAAGACCACUUGCAAACAAGUAUGAGCUAGAACUCCUCGGAACACAUGUAUGAUCGAGAUUUCAUCCGAUAUCUUCGUGGAUAAGAUCACACUAGCUCGAAUUUACCGUAGCCAUCCUGGGCAAGGUAGUGCACACGAGUUACGAAGUAUCCGCGAGUCGUAGCGAGCUACAAGGACUCUUUAAGACAUAACGAGAACCGCUGUAAGACGACCGUGAAAAAACAUACCCACUGAAUGUCGAAUCCCAACCUCACAUCAUGCAUCUGUAGGAAGAUUGUCCUAUAAGUCACUACUCGAUAUCCCACCUAUNNNNNNNNNNNNNNNNNNNNNNNNNNNNNNNNNNNNNNNNNNNNNNNNNNNNNNNNNNNNNNNNNNNNNNNNNNNNNNNNNNNNNNNNNNNNNNNNNNNNGCUACCGUCAGGUUCAGUCCUGUAAGUUCUUGCCUCGGUCAGAUGAUUUAUUAAGUAUUCUCUGUUUCUGCAGCAUUAACACAGUAUACUACAUGGCACCUUUUGCCACCAUGAUACUGGCUCUUCCAGCAAUGUUGCUUGAAGGAGGUGGCGUAAUUGACUGGUUCUACACACACGACGUCUUUUCUUCGCUGAUUAUCAUCCUAGGCUCAGGGGUGCUUGCAUUUUGCCUGAACUUCUCCAUCUUCUAUGUGAUCCAUUCGACCAUCGCAGUGACUUUCAAUGUUGCUGGCAACCUUAAAGUAAGACCAUCCUGGACUAUCUAUGUUUUCUUCCCAUAAGCUUCUCCUCUAUUUCUAAAACAUGCACAUUGUGCUGUAGAUUGCCAUUGCCGUGUUGGUUUCAUGGCUGAUCUUCUGGAACCCGAUCUCCCCAAUGAAUGCAAUCGGAUGCGCAAUCACGCUCGUCGGUUGUACUUUCUAUGGGUAUGUGAGGCAUCUCAUCUCCCAAUAGAAGGCUGCUGCCCCUCUUGGGAACCAAGGAACGAACUAGCCGAGAAGUCGGGUGGAGAUGCUCCCCCUUGUAGGUGACAAGGAAGAUAAGGUCUAGCAAGGCAGUACUCCCAUACCCAGGACCCGUUCAUUUCAGUGGUUGAUGGUACAUUACGGUUUGGCACACAGAUGCUGAGUGAGUUGAGGGACGCCAGUAAAUUGGUAUGGGGGCAACACUUUUGUGAAGCUGCAUAUGUUGUACUCAGGCGAACUGUGAGGGUUUGUUCAGUCACUAGUUCUCAUAGGGUUGCUAGCUAUCAUCAACUUAGUCAAAUCCCCCCGGACGAUUCAUGCGAUUAGGAUGGUGCUUCUGUUUUCUUGUUUUGCUGCCAUAUGUUUAGACCCUGAACUGCUGGUAUGAAAAUUAAUGGCAUUAUGAUACGAGUCAUCUCCGCAUCGAAAUUCUGUUGCACAUUAUCUUUCUGUUGCAUAUCGUGUCUGAUUGGAAAAAAGAACUAGGAACAUAAAGGUUAAGCCACUUCCCAUGUUUCGUUAAUGUAAAGUAUUAAACGAAU